GGUGGAUCCGGGGCAGGCUCAGGACCAAGACCCUCUGCUUCCACCAAGGAGCGCCCAGAGGCCGGCGGCAGCUCCAGGUUCACCUCCUCCUUCUCCAGGAAAUCCCACUUCCAGCUGGAUGUCUGGAUGAACUACUGAAAGCUGCUGAGUGUCUUGCAGCAGCCUUUCAUCCCAAAGAUGCAGCCGACUUGAUUGUGGUGGAUAAGCUUUUUGAUGUGCUGCUGGAUUCUGUUUGCUAGUAUUCUAUUAAGAAUUUUUGCAUUGAUGUUCAUCAGGGAUAUUGGCCUGGAUUGAGCAGGUAUGUGUGUGUGUGUGUUUCUACCUUGGUUUGCCAGUAGGUUGAUGUGUGAGUAUGUGUGACUUUGUGUGUGUGUGUGUGUGUGUGUGUGUGUGUGUGAAUGUGCGAUAGAGAGCCAAACUAGAGCAGAGGAGGUUCCCUGGUCUGCCAUGACAUUAAAUGUUCUGAAUUCAAGAUACCAAGAGAGGCAUGAGACCCACAGUUGAAACUUCAUGAUGUGGCCAGGUUUCAGGGGUUUCUGGUAGCUGCCAGUGGGCAUAUCUCAGGCUUGCUCCCACUGACAAUCCAUGUCUUCUCUCUAAAUGGGAGAUGGCUCUGUAUGGAGAACAGGCAACUGAGAGCAUGAUGUAAGGGUUCCACCUCAUACUCACUAGGAAAGAAAACAGUUUUCAUAAUCUCUCACUCCAUUCCCGUUGUAAAUCUAUAGACACAGGGGUCAGUUACCUGAAAUGUUAGCAUAGGUAAAGUCCUCAGACCAAAUUAGAUGUCCUACCUUCUCAUGUAGAUCAGAUCCUAAAAAUACAACUGCUUCGUGUGGUCAUUAUCUUUUAUCACGGGCCAUUUCCAAUCCAGAGGAAGACCUUCUAGAAGAAGUGAUGGGUGGGAGAGUGCUGACAUACUAUGUGAAGCUACUAUUUGGAGUUGGACACGAGUGCAUGUGACCUUGUGCCACAGCGGGAAUGUGAGCUGGAUGACAAAUGGAGAUUUGGACUUGUGAUAAUUGGCCUCUGUGUCAUUGUGUGGAAGACUGACUGGUCCCUUUAUUUCCUGUAGCUUGACUACCACACAAAUUAAUCCACUCAAAUGUUGGCAAGUGGAGCAGAGUCCCAGGACAGGUAAGUCACUUUCCCUGCUUUUUCUUAAGAUCAAUCCCCAUGCCUAGAAAUUAAAGUCACAUCCCACACAAUCAUUAAAGUAGAGAAUACAUUCUGCAGGAUGAGUGAAAAGGCAUUUAUGAUUCUUGGGGGCAGAUGUUCUACAGUUGCCUGUGCUAGUUCAUGUCUUUCUGCAGAUCACAUUCUUAACCUCUAGAGAGUCUUGCAGGACCAGAGCCUUACCUUUCCCAGUCUGCAAUCUCUACAGGUACAGAAACACCCCCAGUUCAAGGAUCUUCACACCUGGAUUUAGGCCUACACCUGCAACUACCCCAGGAGGCGCUUGGAAACCACCGUGAAUUGGACCGCACUGGGAAACACAGAUGAAGAAAGUCAACACCGCUUUGUCCUUCAGUGCCUGGCUCCUUUUUCAGCUCGUCUUGCAACUCCAGGCAUUGGAGUCCAGGGAGGGGCACGCCGCCUUUACCCUGUGCUUCCCACGAUCUUGUCUCCUUAAUCCUCACUGCAGCUCUCUGCCAUAGGGUCUUAUACUGCUUUACAUGUGGGAAACUGAAGCUCAGAGGGUUUCACAGCAGGGCAGGGAGGCCAGAUGUGAAUCUGUACAUACCAAGCUUUCUAAUUUUUCAGUAGUUUCCAAGCAUCUUUUUUUUUUCUUGUUUCGUCAUUGGUGUCUUUUUUUUUUUUUUUUUUUUUUUUGAGACAAAGUCUCUGUCACCCAGGCUGGGGUGCAGUGGUGUGAUCUCAGCUCACUGCAACCUCCGUGUCUCACAUUCAAGCAAUUCUCAUGCCUCAGCCUCCCAAGUAGCUGGGACUACAAGUGCCCACCACACCCAGCUUAUUUUUGUAUUUUUAGUAGAAACAGGGUUUCACCAUGUUGGCCAGGCUGGUCUUGAACUCCUGACCUCAGGUGAUCCACACGCCUUGGCCUCCCAAUAAGCUGGAAUUAUUGAUAUGAGCCACUGUGCCUGGCCAUGUCAUUGGUGCCUUAACCAAGCCUCUUUUAAUUUUUCAAACUUAAGUGCCCCUGUCCCACAGUUACUGCUGCUGAGCCCUUUCAAGGUGAGUCAGUGAGGAGGGGGAAAAGCGGAAGCGGUGUGGGAAGAGGCGGGGUCUGGGCCAGCUGCUGGUCCUGCUCUCCUCCCUCAUCUGGCCUCUAGGCUCCUAGGAGUGGUUUGGAACCUGCGCCAUGUGCUCUGGAGGCUGUGUCAGGGCAGGCGCGGCUUGGAACCCGCACCAUGUGCUCUGGGGGCUGUGGCAGGUCAGGGGCAGCUUGGAACCUGCGCCAUGUGCUCUGGGGGCUGUGCCAGGGCAGGGGGAGUCCUAGUGUCCCCUGCGCACAACACAGACAGAAUGCUGGGUCCACCCAGUGGGCGGUUGGGUGCCAGGCCAGUGCUUACCCCGCCGUGUUUGCAGCUCGAGGCCAGCUGGCUGCAGGUGCAGGGCUAUGCAUCAGGGGUCAGGGUGCACACAUCCCUGCAGGUCUCGGGGCUCCUGGGUUGCUUCUGGAAGGGCCCAGAUGGUGCCUGACUGGAGCUGCUGAGGGGUGGAGCUUCUGGGAAAAGGAUCCCUCCUAGGGGGAGUGUCUUGGGCCUGGGGCCAUGUGGCAGGGACAGAGACGGGUUCAUGGCAGUGUCUGCUCCUCUCUGUGAAGGCAAAGGGCCUCUGAGGGAGUAUUACAGCCGCCUCAUCCACCAGAAGCAUUUCCAGCACAUCCAGGUCUGCACCCCCUGGCUGGAGGGCCGAGGACUACCCCCGCUUCUAGGUGAGAGGCCAGCAGGAGGCUCAGGGAGGAGGCGGGGCCUUAAGCAGGGGGAGCAGGGGUGGGCAGGAUGUACUUUUUCUGAAAAGGUGGCUCUGGAGGCCACUUGAGGACAGAACCUGGGCUCUGGCUGAACUCCCGGGAGGAGGCUACUUCCUGGUGUGCCAGCCCCUCCCUGCCAGGUGGCCCCAGAGGCCCUUUACCAAGGGGUUUGAGGAGGCCACGUCCUUUCAGUCUGCCCCGCCCUCCAUUCAGUCCUCUUCCUUCCUGCAGGAGGGCUGGGCCUGGGGUUGGGGCCACUGUUGCCUAGGUGUGGGAGGGCAGUGGCUUUGGGAGGUACAGGGAUGAUGUGUCAAACAGCGUCGCCUCUCCCAGUGCGAUGGUUCUCCUUUGCCUCCAUCUCUUUCCCCGUUGAUUUCUCCAAGUGGGGAGUCGUGGCUUGGUCCUGAUGCGUCUCUAGAGCCGCAUCUUCCAGCUUCGAGUGAGCAGAGCAGUUGGAGGCUGAGGGCCUUUUCCUGGCAGGAUUCUCCAGCUAGUCUUUGUUUUAGACAGUCUUGCUCUGUUGCCUAGGCUGGAGUGCGCGAUCUCAGUUCAUGCAACCUCCGCCUCCUGGGUUCAAGCGAUUCUCCCACCUCAGCCUCCCAAGUAGAUUACAGGAUUACAGGAGCCCGCCACAGCAACUGGCUUAUUUUUGUAUUUUUAGUAGAGACAGGGUUUCACCAUGUUGGCCAGGCUGGUCUUGAACUCCUGACCUCAAGUGAUCCUCUCGCCUUGGCCUCCCUAAGUGCUGGGAUUCCAGGCGUGACCCAUCAUGCCUGGCCCCAGCUAGUCUUUAGAAAUGUUAAGCUAUUUGGCUUUAUUUUCACACUGACAGCUGGUUUGUGGUGGGUGUGCUGUGGUUUAUUAUUAUUAUUAUUAUUAUUAUUAUUAUUUUGAGAUGGAGUUUCGCUCUUGUAGCCCAGGCUGGAGUGUAAUGGCACGAUCUUGGCUCACUGCAACCUCUGCCUUCCCGGGUUCAAGCGAUUCUCCUGCCUCAGCCUCCUGAGUAGCUGGGAUUACAGGCACCUGCCACGAAUUAGCUUCGCUAAUUUUGUAUUUUUUUUUUAGUAGAGAUGGGGUUUCACCAUGAUGGCCAGGCUGGUCUUGAACUCCUGACCUCUGGUGAUCCACCCGCCUUGUCCUCCCAAAAUGCUGGGAUUACAGGCGGGAGGUGAACCUGGGAGGUGGAGGUUGCAGGGAGCUGAGAUUGUGCCACUGCAUUCCAGCCUGGGUGAGUGAGACAGAGUGAGACUCUGUCUCAAAACAAAACAACAACAACAACAAAAAAAAUUGUGGUUACGUAGAAAAAGUGUCAACUUACAUUUUCAGAUGUCCCAGCCAGGCCGUGUGGCUGCUUGGCCAGUUUAAGCCACUUGUAGUUGGGGCUGUCGGGGGCCUUAUCCAAUUUUCACUCCCCUCGGGGGAUGUUGCCUCACUGUGCUGGGAGGAUUUGUGUUCUCAGGGCAGAGACCAGUGCUCUGACCCACCCCUCUUGCCUAGCAGGGUUGGUGGACCUGGGUGUCUGUCUGGACACAUCCUCCAGUGGCCUGGACCUGCCCAUGAAGGUGGUGGACAUGUUCAGGUGCUGUUUGCCUGCGUGUGCCGUGAACUUCAAGUGGUAGGAGCAGAACCCGAAUCUUUCUGGGGAUAGCUUCACAGAUCCACCGCUGAGGGGGAAGCAGUGCAGAGUGAGCUGCCCACAGUGAGGCCCUGCCCCUCGGUCAGUCCAGCACACACUGGAGGCCAUGAGGAGGAGCCCUGCGGUUAUGUGGCUGGGCUGAGCCUCACUGAAGUAGUUGCUUCCAUUUAGAGCUCAUGUUAUAUUUAGGUUGGUACAAAAGUAAUCAUGGUUUUUGCCAUUAAAAAUGGCAAUUACUUUUGCACCAACCCAAUAUGAAAAAAAAAAAAAAGCACCUUAAAUACAAGAACUCCACUCAGGGCUUUUGCUCCUAGAGUAGAAUUGGCGGGAAUUGCCUGCAGGCUUACAUGGUUUUCUUUCUUUCUUUCUCUCCCACCAUGUCCCUUUUGGCCAAGCUCAUAUGGUGGGUUUGAAUCAGUUAAAUGAGUGUCAUGCUGUGGCCUCACUCCACCCAGCAUAGACGGGUGUUUGGAAGGGUGGCGUUAGAGGAGAUUCUAGAAGCAGUAGCCUCAGCACAAGUUGAGCCCUUGGCCCCUGCUCAGGAGCCGGCCCCUGGAUGGGAUUCAGGGAUGCGAGCCCCUCGUGUGAGCUGAGCUCAGGGAAUGUCGGGAUCAAAUCUGGUGUCCUAGAAAAGUCAUCUUUUAUGUGCUGAACCAGUCCCCAGGGGGUUGCCAUUACUUGUUCCAUGGCCAUGGAAUUAAGAAAAACAUGCAAAAAUAAUUCUUCAGUACUUGAAGAGCAUUCAGCACAGAAGGUACAAACCUUCCUUAAGGCUCCCUCCUCAAAUCAGUUUGGUCAUUUUGAUGUGCACCCCCCCAGGCCUUUAUACCCUUCAGAUGCCAAAUCUAAGAACCAGCUCCCAGAAACCACACCCCCUGUUCCAACCCCCAGCCUGGCUUGAGCGUGGGGUGGGUGGGAGCCCAGCAGGGCACCCCAGGGGUCUGGUGUCUUCUCCAGGCUGCUCUCAGCCUCUCUUGGUUCUCUCUGCAGUUUACAUGAGCUGCUGAAACAUGAAGAAAACAGCCUGGUCUUUGAGGACUCAGAGGAACUGGCAGCUCAGCUGCAGGUAGCCAUGUCUGCCACCACACCAGGGUGGGCAGGGUUCUGGAGACUGACAUCGAGCCACGCUCCCUGAUCCCUGCUUCACACAGCCAGGGUGGGACCAUGGGGGUCCUGGUGGAAAAGCUAGGGAGGGAGCAGAAGUCACAGAGGCUUCCUACUCUGCUGUCCCAUUUUGGUACAGUAGGCUCGGGAAAAUUAGGACACAACCCCACCUGCUCUCUGGAUUUCUGGAGCUGACACUCCACAAAUGAUGCUGGAGCCGGGUGGGCUGGGCUGCAGUUUAGGAAGUGAUCAGGAUCAGGUAGGUGCGUGGGCAGAGGGAACUUCUGGGAUCAGCCUUGAAAGAUGGGUGAAAUUCUGCAAAGGUUACUUGUUUCUUAUUGCAAAAAGUAAUACACCAUUCUUGUCAACAGAAUGAUUGGGAGGAUUUUCAGUAAAGGUCCAGAUCAGAAGUCAUUUAGACUGGGUCCCCCAGUCUCUGUCAGAACCAUGGUACUCUGUUGUGGUGUGAAAGUAGCCACAGAUCAUCUGUAGAUUAAGGGGUGUGGCUUUGUUCCAAUAAAGCUUUAUUUACAAACACAGGCUGUGGGCUGGAUUUGGCCUGCAGGCUGUAGUUUGUGAUCCUUGAUUCAGACAGUUUAGCAAGGCUGCAAAGAACACCCACACCCCCUUGUUACCCACAGAUGGGUGGGACUGUGUUGGCCAGAGGCCGAGAGGAGGGUGCUCACAGGGGAACGUACAGCAUGUAGAGGCCGGAAGGUGCUCCAGGGCACCAAGUGUGGGAAAGUGGGACAUACGGGGAAGUUUCCAGAAAGCAUGAUGUCAAGUUGGAGGCGGAGCGCUGCUGGGGUGUGAAGGGUCUCAAGUCCAAGUGAGGGAAUUAGGGACUUGGGAGGGGUUGUUGUUGGGUCGGGGAGCUGGGGUCAUCCAGGUGGUGACCUGGGAUGGGGUGGGGACAGGCAAUGAGGUAAGCUCUGCUCUUUAGCAUUUUGCAGAUGCUUUUCUCAAACUUUCCUGAUCCUGCAGGCAAGCUAAACCAGUUCCGGAAGAACCUGCAGGAGUCGCAGCAGCUCUGAUGGGAUGAGAGCUGGGUGCAGACUCUGCUCCCUUUGGUUAUGGACACAUAACUCCUGGGCCAGAGGCUAAAACCCCAGAGCCCCUGCUGUCCUUCCCGCAGCUUCUUCUUGGAGUCUCAGGGCAAACCCUUUCGAGCAGCGCCUCCCAGUGGCCAGAAGCUGAAAUGACGGCAGUGGUGCCACCUGGUGAAUGACCCGGGAAGCUGUGAUUGGCCCUGAUUUCUUCUUUGGAGUCUCCGAAAGGCUUCCUGUCUUCUUCUGUUCACACCCCAUGCCCCUGCUAGCAUAUUACUGUUCUAUGACUUCCCUGUGACCUCUGCAGUACUCCUCAUCCUGCAUUUGGUCUCCAGGUGUCACCUUUCUGCCGUGUUCCUAACACUUUGAUUCCUGUCUUGAAAAAAGCACCUGCUGCACCAUAAGCCCUGGGAUGUGGCAGCUGCAGCGGGCUUGGCUUUGUGAGGAACGGAGUGUGUCCAGGGAUGUGGCAGCUGCAGCGGGCUUGGCUUUGUGAGGAACCAAGUGUGUCCACGUUGGGGGAACGUCAUACGUGAUACACACGUUUUUAUUUGCACGAAGAAAAUGCUAUUUUUGGAGCCAGAAUUUUCAUGUCUGAUUUAUGGUGAUUUUCUUAAGAACCGGAACUACUGGCAGAAAGGCGGCACCCACACGCUUAGAUAGCUGAUGUCUUAUUAGAGGGCAGUUUGUGGUUCCUGAUUUGGAAUUUAACAAUCUCCAAACAUUCCAGUCCAAUGAAAGUUUUAGCCGCUUUCCCAUAUAAAAAUUCUUCCCACGAGAGUGACUUGAUUCUCACAAUCCCGUUAGAGUCGUGUGUGAGUCCUACAGUGUGAGGUUCAGCAUUGCCAUCUCCAAGUGCUCUCCGUAGGGUAACAGUUUCUGGUCAUGAUGAGCUUCCGCUUCCCAUCUGAUCCCGGCCCGGCCUGGAAACAAAGCAUGUGUUUAAGGAUGGCGGUGUAUGGGGACAGGACAUGAGUGUUUUGUGUGGGGCUGCUAGGACAGGCCUGGUGGGGUGGGGGGUGUCUAAGUCAGUUUACUUGUUUCACAGGUUCCCAGGCCCACCCACGUACCUAGAAUUGGCCUCCAGGAUGGGACCAGACAUCUGGUUUUGCAUAGAAAUGGCUAGCAGCAGGAACCAUGCCGCUGUCCACUCUCUGCCUGCGUCUGCCCCAGCACUUGGCACAGCAGGACAGAAGCAGAGAUCUGAACCCAUAUCUACCUGGCUGCUCAGUCAACUCGCUCUUCACAAAGCUUAGAAAGUGGCCGGGCACAGCCACACUCUGUCUCAAAAAAAAAAAAAAAAAAAAAAAAAAAGGUUGGUGGGGGCUUAUACUAUGUGUGCUGCUUGGCACUGUUUUUUUCACUUAAAAGAUAUUGCAGGUGUUUUUUCACGUAAGUAUCUGAAGAAAGACUUCCUUUUUUUUGUUUGCUUUUUUGAGACAGGGUCUUGCUCUGUUGCCCACGCUGGAGUGCAGUGGUGAGAUCAGGGCUCACUGCAGCCUCCACCUUGUGGGCUCAAGCCAUCCUCCCACCUCAGCCUCCCAAGUAGCUGGGACUACAGGCGUGUGCAACCACAUCUGGCUAGUUUCUGUAUGUUUUGUGAAGACGGGGUCCCACUAUGUGGCCCAGGUUGGUCUUGAACACCUGGGGUCAAGUAGUCCUCCUGCCUUAGCCUCCUAAAGUGCUGGGAUGACAGGCCUGAGCCCCGCGCCCGGCCAGCCUCCUGUGCGAGGUUGUGCGUGUGCGGGACUCUGUCGUGGAACCCAGUAUGCCUUCGUAUGCUGGCUUGUUUGUUGACUCUGUAGUUAACGGGCUGCCCCACGUGGGCAGGCACUGGGUCGUCUGUGUCUCUGUGUGCAGGCAGAGGCUGCUGCGGGUGCAUCUGUGCACAUGGCUGCCAGGAGGGGCUGUGCUCAGGGGGAGCUGGGGCAGAGGCUGGUGGCAAUGGGGGGCUUGGGUGUAGUGUGGAGGCACGAGAGCCAGGUGGCUGGGCUGCAGUCUGCGGGAGCUCGGGGGUCGCUUGGCCUCUGUGUGUCCCAGUGUCUUUGUCGGUGUGAUGGGACAAUGACAGCCCACCCUCACAGGUGCUGGGGACUGACAAAUGUCAGGUCUGAGGACAGUGGCUGGCCCACUACGGGGCCAGUUUCCCUUCUCUAUAGUCACCCUGCUCGUCUUCCAUCAACUGGGUGCUCAGGACAGUGGCAUGGUGGAUCCGCCUGUACAGCCUGUGCUCCAGCAUCUUGCAGGCCACAGCUGUGUCCAGCCCUGACCCCGACUGCCCCUCCCGCCACCUCCAUUUUAUAGAUGAGGAAACCGAGGCCCAAGGGCUUAGGGAACUGUGCUCUGAAGCACAUAGUAGGGCUGCUGGGCUCAGACCCUCCCUCCCUGUGCUGAGCUGCCCUCCUCCUGCCGCAAGCCCCCCACACCCCGAGCCCACCCUGCUCAACGGCCUGUGCCCGAGUUCCCUGCAUGGUGUGGGAGUGUGGGACAUCCUAGCUUUUCCCCGGCGCCCAGUUCUUUCACUUCCACUGGAGUCCUGCAGGGACAGCUCAGGGACCAUGCAGGCCCGGGUGGGCGUGGGGGCUCAGCUAGCUUGGUGGUGAACAGCUGGCACGUCUCUGGGUUGUGGACGGUAAAGGCCAUGUAGACCUCAGGAGUCCGCUUGUGCUCCUGGCAGGCAGCCAGCCUCCACAGGACCCCGACCAGCGACACGAUGGCUUCUGGGCAAUACAGCAUGUCUACGGUGAAAGCUUCAGGUUACUGAAAGGGACAAGUGGAAAGUUCCAGUUCAUGCUGACCUCAGGAGCAGGGCAAGGCCAGAGAGGCAGCGGUCCUAUGAGACUAUUAGAUGCCAUUUGACUAUUUGGGCCAUUAGAUGGAAAGGCAAUUACUUGGGUGAAAAAGGAGAACCCUUAGUAGAGAAAGCUGCAAAAGACCGAAGCAAAAGAAAAAAAUCUCCAGACUCACUGGUGUUCCUUAAAAAACCAGCUCUGGUUCUCGGCCUAUCUAGAGGGCUUUGAAUGACAGAAAGCCUGACCCUGCCGUGAACUUCGUGUUUCAGGUGUCUGCCGAUUGGUCUGCUGGCUUGCAGGGGUGGGCCUGUGUCCCUGGCCACCGCUGGACCUGUGGUUUUCAGGGCUGGGACCCAGGACCACAGGCAGAGCUCUGCUCCACCAGAGAGGGGACUGAGUGUGCUGGCAGGGGCGAGGGGUUUUUGGUGACCCAGCCAAACACCACCUUCUCUCAAGGGCCCUGUCCUCGUCCCUGAAGUGGUUGUUUUCCUCCUGUGGUCUCUGAAGGACACAGGGCAUGGCUCUGGGACAGAGCUAUGUGCCGACGACUGUAACGGGAGUAUGCCUGUCUCCAAGAGGGCUGUGGCUUGAAGGUCACCUUAAGAGGCACCCCUGUCCUUUGAUGUCACCCUGGAGGCCCAGAGUAACUCUUCUGGAAGCCCCAUCAUGUCCAUGCCCGACAGCGUCCAUUGUUCCCUUUUCCCAGAGCCAAGAGCUGGGUAGAGCUGCAAGGACACCACCUGCACAGGAUGCCCGGGGCUGGGCAUUACCUGCUGCAAUGACAAUAUCUGGCUGGAAGGCAGAGAGCUGAUGGACCAUCGCUACGUCCUAGUCCAGCUGGGCCACUGUCACCCUGGGGCUGUCUAAGUUGGCAGUGAUGUCUGCCUCUAAUGAGAGGCCAUUGAGAAGUACAUUCCCUCGGAGCUGCUCGAGGACCCGGCUGUGAGGGUCGCUGAAGAUGUAUGCCCAGGGGUGGCACAUCUUGCAGAUGGCAAGGCCUGUGAGGCCGGCACCACUGCCAAGUUCAAGGACAGUCCUGGCGGGAGGAAAGGGGACCGUGUCUUCGACUGCACCAGGGUAAGCCUGCCUCGGUGCCCUGCCCUGUGCCCCGAGGUCACCUGUUAGUGAAGGCUGCCGGGUUCUCGAUGGCCCAUUCUGCAAGGUGGCGUCCCAUGUGACCAGGCCUGUGGUACCGUGGGAGAUGAUGGCUGUGCUCUCAGAGAGUGUGACCGAGCCUCCCGAGGGCUGCACCAAGAGAGGGCGAGAGAGUCAGUCCAGCGAUCAGAAGGUAAGUGGCUUAGAAGACAAGUAGCCAUCCACCACAUGGCUGAAUAAACCAUGACAGGACCAAUCGCCACUCAGCAAUGAGAAGCAGCUAACUGUUGACAUACCAACAGCUUUCACGGGCCUCAAGGGUGUCACGUGGCAUGAAAGACACUCAUCUCAGGCCACACAGGAUUCCAUUCAUCGAACAUUCCUGAGACAAUGGAAUUCUGGUGAUGGAGCACAGGUCAGUGGUGGCCAGGGGCCAGGUGUGGCUAUGAAGGGGUGGCUGCCUUGUGAUGAUUCAAUAUGCUAUGUUUUUCCUUUGUGGUUUUCUGUAUCUAUGUUUUAUCUUAUUUUUUUUUUUUUUUGAGCUCUGUCCCCCAGGCUGGAGUCAGUGGCACGAUCUUGGCUCACUGCAACCUCUGCCUCCUGGGUUCAAGCAAUUCUCCUGCCUCACCUGCCCAAGUAGCUGUGACUACAGGUGUGUGCCACCAUGUCCGGCUAAUUUUUGUACUUUUUUUUGAGACACAGAUUCGCUCUCGUUGCCGAGGCCGGAGUGCAAUAGCGCGAUCUCGGCUCACUACAACCUCCACCUCCCGGGUUCAAGAGAUUCUCCUGCCUCAGCCUGCCGAGUAGCUGGGAUUACAGGCGCCCACUACCACACCCCGCUAAUUUUUGUAUUUUUGGUAAAGAUGGAGUUUCACCAUGUUGGCCAAGCUGGUCUCUAACUCCUGACCUCAGGUGAUCCCCUUGCCUCAGCCUCCCAAAGUGCUGGGAUUACAGGAAUGAGCCACCAUGCCUGGCCUAAUUUUUGUAUUUUUAGUAGAGACAGGGUUUCACCAUAUUGGCCAGGCUGGUCUCGAACUCCUGACCUCAGAUCCACCCGCCUUGGCCUCCCAUAGUGCUGGGAUUACAGGCGUGAGCCACCAUGUCCAGCCCUGUCAAAUAUUCUUUGAGGAUUGGGCACCAGGUCCUUGUGAAGCAGGUAGUGUGUGUCACCUAUUGGACAAAUGCCCAACAACUCCACGAGACAUGCUGUUGUUGUUGAAGUGCUUGAUUUACACACAGGGAAACUGAGGCUAAAGAAGGUUAACGGACCUCAUGCCUAAGACUGCAGAAUGGGUGAGUCAGGAUUUGAACCCACACCCACAUUUUCACUUUUUCUGUGCAGGAAGGGUAUCAGGGUUGUGAGGGGGAGGAGGGUGCCCUUCUCAUACCAGCAAAUAGCUCCGGUGGCCCUGGGUGGACUCCUUGGCCAUCAGAGUCUCUGCCAGCGCCUUGUACAGCUCAUCCAAAGGCUCCGUGUGGACAGCCUCAUGCUGGGGGUAGACAGAGUGAGAGCUUGUUUGCUUUUGUUCUAAUCUGUAAAAAUGGCCAGAUGAUUUUCACCAAGUUUGGAAGGGAGAUUUGGGAUGGAAUGGUGUAAUACCGGCCAGCUGAUAUAUAAAAUAUUCAUUUCGUUGGGCAUGGUGGUGUGUGUCGAAUAGUUCCAGCUGCUCUAGAGGCUGACAUGGGAGGACUGCUUGAGCCCAGGAGUUCGAGGACAGCCUGGGCAAAAGAGAUCUUGUCUCUAAAAAAAAAAAUAAUUCCACUUGGUAGGGAAACCUGGACGGGAGGGCCUUCAACAAGAGGUGUUGAGAGGGUAGGGUUAGGUGUAGUCUAGGGCAGGAGACAAGGAUUCCGUGAGAGCUGCCACAUGACCAUGACAGAGAGCUCUGUGUUUGGAUCAAACACAGAGAGGAGGAAAACAAAAGGUGCUUUUAAGUGAGCCCAGGCAGAACUGUGAGGGCGGCCCAUGCUGCAGUCUGUGGCUGUCAGCAGGCUGCUUCUCCACAGCUGGCCCCGUCCUAGGAUUCACAAGGCAGCAGCAGGGUACACUGGGUAACUGCUGCCCUCUCAUGGUGGCACAGGGCAGACUGGCUGGUGACCACAGAUGCACCCUUUUGGGGAGGACUAGGGAGAAAGCAGGUAUUGGAGAAGCAGGGGAUUGUUUAUUUGCUAAAAGUGUGGCCCUUUCACUCAGCAGGUCUGCUACUGCCUACUAAGGAAUGGCUUCUCGACAUCCUCAUGUCAAACCCUGCAUGUUUGGGCCCGUCUUUAAAAUCCAUCCUAGGCCAGGUGCAGUGGCUCAUGCCUGUAAUCCCAGCACUUUGGGAGGCCGAGGCAGGCGGAUCACCUGAGGUCAGGAGUUCGAGACCAGCCUGGCCAACAUGGUGAAACUCUGUCACUACUAAAAAUACAAAAAUUAGCCAGGCAUGGUGGCAUGUGCCUGCAGUCCCAGCUUCUUAGAAGGCUAGGCAUGAGAGUUGCUUGAACCCAGGAGGCAGAGAUUUCAGGGAGCCGAGAUUGUGCCACGGUAAUCCAGCCUGGGCACCACAGUGAGACUGUCUCAAAAAAGUAAAUAAACAAGUAAAAAAUAAAAUCCAUCCUAUAUCAGUCAGGAAAGAGCUCAUUCCAGCAGGAUCAAUGCAGAGAAUUCACCAGAGGAACUAGUUCCAAAGGUAUGGCAAGAGCUAAAUCUUCCAACAGGGGCCCGUGGGGCAACCAAGAGACGAACAAGAGCAGGAAACUCCAAACUCUUCGGCGGGCAGGACAGAGGGUGUGAGUGAGGGUUCCAGUGCUGUGGGCUGGACCAGUCUGGUAGGAAUGAGAAUUCAUAUGCUAGGAGAUGGGGCCCCAGAGAAGCAGCUGCUGUGGAAACCCCAGGAGGCAGAGUGAGGGAGAGACGCUGGCCUCCCCUUCUUCCCACCCUGCACUGUCUCCCAUGGGUCACAUGUGGCUGCAGCCAGUUGCCUGGGGAGGCCUCUGCCAUGCUGGGGUUUGCAAAGCAGGCCCAGGGCCUGGGAAGGACGGGGUCUGCAGCAAGCCGGUGGGUAUGCUGUCCAGCUACUGGGCGGACACUGCCCAUAACUGACCUUCUUGAUGAGUUCUGAGAGAAAGCACCGGGCACACGUGACUGACGGUGGGUGCUUCACACACACAGGAUGCUUCACAGUCUACAGCAAAGGACAGAACGUUGGUUGCUCGAGAGCCCGUCUUAAGUCUCCUAUGAGCUUCAAGCCAACACAGCAGAGGGCAAACUCCAGGCUACCCGAUCCCUCGGCAAAGAUGCAGAUGGACACAGCGUUCUGGCCCCAUGCAUCUGAAGUUCGUCUUAAGAUAUAAGCCGUUUCUUAAAAAUGCUUCCACUGCAGUGGCACAGGCUAUGGCAGCAUUUCUAAUGCCCAUUCUGAGCAGGAACACAGGGCAUGUGGGCCCAAACCACCUCCCUCCCAGGGGAGCCAGUGUGAACCAGGGUUUGCAGUAAGGACAGUCGCCAACUCUCUGGCUUUAUGGAAGAGGCGGGAAGGCGCACUCAGCGACUGCUCUCUUGGAUCGUGUGUCCCUGGGGACAGGAUGGAGGGGAGGGGACGCUCAGGGUGACUCCAGCUAAAGCCGAGAGAAGGCAAGUGCAGGAUGAGCAAGUUCCAGGCAGUGGGAACAGCCUGUGCAAGCUCUGAGGUGGCCACGGGCUGGCACUUGGAAAGGAGGGCAGAGGGACUGGUGCAGCAGGAGUGGGGACAGUGGGAAAACAGGAGCCUGGAGGGAGAGGGAGGAGACGGUCCGCAGCGCCUGCUGGCUGGGAGGGAUGCAGAUUCUGCCCAAGGGCAGCAAAGUACCCCACGCCAUACACAGGCUCUUCAUGCUGGUGCUGAUUUUUCAUUUUUUGUGACACAGUCUCGCUCUGUUGCCCAGGCUGGAGUGCAGUGGCCCGAUCUUGGCUCACUGCAGCCCCCGCUUCCUGGGUUCCAGUGAUUCUCCUGCCUCAGCCUCCUGAGUAGCUGGGACUAUAGGCGUGCACCACCACGCCCAGCUAAUUUUUUUAUUUUUAGUAGAGAUGGGUUUUUGCCAUGUUGGCUAGGCUGGUCUUGAACUACUGACCUUAGGUGAUCCGUCCACCUCAGCCUCCCAAAGACCUGGGAUUACAGGUGUGAGCCAGUGCACCCAGCCUUGUGCUGGGUUUUAAAGCAGCUCUCCCUACAUCUCAUGCUUCACCACCUACCAGAGUGAGGCUCAGGGUGAAACUCAGAGCAAGGUGCAAGACAACUUCAGGUAUCUCCAUGCUCGAAGCCCUGACCUACUGUAUUGCCCCGAAAGUCUUCCCUGCUGUGGCUGCAUCUUUUCCACGUGGAUAAUCUUGGUUCACCUCUAGCACAGGAAUUGUUCACCGGGGCUCCUAGGAUGGGCUGGGUGGGUGGGGGUGGAGGAUGUCUGCCUCCCCUGAGUUUGUAUGGAAAAUGUAUUCUUCUGGUGCACUUCUUUCUGGGAGGGAGUCUAUUGCUUUGUCUUUUCAGAAGGGCUCAUGGCCCUUCGAAGGUGAAGACCCAGGAUGCAGGGUGAUCUGCACUUGGCCCUCAAGGCCAAGGUCAGGCUGUGGCUGGGCUGGGUGGUGAUCCUGGCUCUCACCUGCAUGCAGAUGCACUUGAGUCCAAACCCCACCGUGGGCAAAGCAAGGGCCCAUUUAGGUCUAGAAGAGACAGGAGUGGGCAGGACAGGCCUCAUGAAUGCAAAAAAGAAAGUCUCUGAGCAUCUACCAAAUGCUAGAAGCUGUUUUGCACCUGUCAUCUCUGUUUUUGCUGAGGAUGGUUUAAAAAACAUUCCCUAGAUUUCCCCCCUCUUGCAGAUUUUUGUAUAUUCUGAUGUCUUUGUCUAAGUCUUAGAUAGAAAAUGAAAGCGCAGGAGCUGUCGGAGGUGCUGACACCCACCUGCAGUGCUGACUCAAUGGUUUUGUUCUUUGAAGAGGGCUGUUUUUAAAGGGUACAAGCACAUCUGUGGUUCUUCUCUCAGGUCUUCCGGAGAGAUUCAGGAGGCAGAGUCAUGAGUCCCAGGGACUCUGGGAUUCUUACCUUCUGCAAAAUAUCCCGCAGCAGCUCAGAAUCUGAUGAGUCUUUUAACUUUGCUUCUAAGCUCAGUGUGGAUGGGAGAGAGAGAAAUCUCAAGGGCGCAUUCACAGGAACAUUAAAACACGCAAUAGAAUGUGUUGGCAAAGCUCUAUGUUAUCCCUCCCUGGGGACGUGGAGCCAGUUGGAAGUGGAAGCCACAGCGGCUGAAAGCCUGACCUUCAGAUAUCGCAGGGUGCACCUGGAUGAGUCACAGGAAGAAGGCUGACUCUUGGCCGCAUGAGUCCUGGCUACUCAGCUGCCACCCAGGUCAUGGGCCAGCUCCCUGGUUGCACUGAUCAGCCAGGAAUUACCAGGGCAGCCAUGGCACCAGGGUUUGAUGGGCUUGCCAUCUGAGUUUAAGUGGAAAUGCAGAAUGUGCCCAUACCAGCCUGGGUUACAUUGUCCUCUUACAGGGGCCUCAAGCCCAGCAGCGAGCUUUGGCUCCUGAGUUAGGCAGACUGUCUCGGCUGGCAUGUGACACACGGCAAGGCACUUCAUUGCUUCAGAGCUCCUUCUAUGCCAUAAAAGGCCCUACAAGACCUGGUGCUAAUCCCUCUCUCUGGCCUGUUCUCCCUCACCCCUGGCCCACCCUGCUCACUCCACUCCAGCCACACUGGCUGCCUUGCUGUUGUUCCUCAACCACAGCUGGCUUGUUUCCACCACAGGGCCUUUGCAUAUCCUGUUCCCCAAACCCUUCCCAUGGCUGGCUGCUUCACCACUCAGGCCCCAGUUCAAAUGCCACCUCUUUGGGGAAGGCUUCCCUGAUUCCCUGACUUUGGUGACUUUUCUCCCCAGUUGCUCCAUUCACCAUUUCCCUGUUUUAUUGGCUUUAAAGCCACUCUCAUCUGGUGUUUUCUUGUUUAUUCAUUUAUUUGUUUAUUCUCUGGCUCUCCCAUGCAAGCAGAGCCUCAUCUAUCAUGGGUACUGCUGAUCCAUGGUGCCUGGCUCAUGGAAGGCAUUUAUUAAACAUUUUGAGACUGAAUAAAACACUAGCUAACACCGACAUGCAUUUACCAUUAGCCGGGCACUGAUCCACAGGCUUUUGUACUCAACGCUGACAACAACCCUAAGAGGUAGGUAUCAUUAUAUCCCCCAUUUUAUUAAUAAGAAAACAAUAGCACAGAGAGAUGCAGUCACUUGCCCAAGGUCACACAGGGCUAGGGGUUGGGCCAGGAUUCGAAGCAGGCUGGCUGUCUCCUGGGUCUGAACUCUCAACUACUUCACCCUAAUCAAACAAUCCCUCUGGUCAAAUGUGAGUGAUAAUAAUAGUACCCACCUCGUGGGUGUUGAGGGUGAGCCCAAGUUAGCAUUCAGUGUGGGCAUGUGAACAACUAUAGUCAAUAUUGAAUGGAGACCUAUGAUGCUUUUAUGAAGGUUUCUAUUUUGGGUUAAAAAUGCACAAAUUUCUCCUGACCAGAAAUGAUCCCUGAGUGCUAAAUAUUUUAUGUCAAUGGAAUAACGCAAAUGAUUAAGCAACACCCCAUAAAAUGGGGCAGACCCAGGGAGGAAUAUAUAUCCAAACUGACUCAUCCCUGUGAGCUCACCGCACAUGAAUAACAAAUGGGGCCGGGUGCAUUAGGCCCCUCUGCUGGCAGAAGGGAGGCUGCUGCCUGCCAUGCGCCUGUGCUGAGAAUGGCAGGUCCCCAGGGAGAGGAGAGGCCACCCCCUUCUCUGUCUCUUCCAUCACAGGCGUGAAAGCCUCAGCGCAUGAGCCAAUUCUGUGCAGUGCUCGACAUACAGAUGAGAACACUGAGGCACAAGGGACAGCCUGUGACCUGGUCACCGCGCUCGGGAGGAGGUGGUUACCCGCGGGCCUGAGGGCACUGACUUUUUAGAAUGGGCGAGCGCAGCUGUGUCCCAGUGACCAGAACGAUUACUGCCUUUAAAAAGUCGUGAAAAUGAUCGUGAACUGUACCCCACACCGAGCGCGCUUCUGCCCCCCAAGGCGGUGGAGACAUCCCCAGCUUCCGCCGCCAGCUCGCGGGGCAGAAGGGGUGCGAGCAACUCUGGCCAGGCCCCAGGGAUGGGAACCGGGUCUGGCGGCCCUGACCGGGGAGAGCCCAGGAACUCACGUGGCCGGAGCGCUGGGGGUUUCAGCACGGAGACCCAUCCCGUCUGCCCCUGGACUCCCGCGAGCCCCGCGGGCCUCUCCGCUCGCCCCGCCGCCCACCUGCCAGGGGAAGGAGCGCAGUGUGCGCGCCGCCAGGAAGCGGCGAUCGAAACCCUGCAGCAAGAGUUCGGUACCCGCGUUCUCCUCGGGCGCCAUGACGUGGGCGGGGCCGCAGCGUUGCCGGGAGACCUGGAGGAAGCCGGGCCUGGACUGAAGAGGGGGCGGGCCCAGGGCAGUGCGCGGGGGCAGAAAGGGGGCGAGGCCUGGGGGGUAGGGUCAGGAGGUGCGUCCUGGGCGGGGGGACUCUAGGGCGGGGCCAAGAUGAGCGUUAGGAGGGCGGGGCCUGGGGUGGGGCCAGGAUGAACGUCCUGAGGGCGAGGCCUGUGGUAGGGCCAGGAUAAGCGUCGUUGGGGCAGGUCCUGGGUAGACCAGGUUGGCGGAUCCUGGGGCGGGGCCAGGAUAGGGCGAUCCUGGAAGCUGGGCUUCGGAAGCGUCCAGGUUGGUGGCGUCCUGGAGGCGGUGCCUUGCGUGGGGGCAGGAUAAGAGUCCUGGAGGCGGGCAUUAGGGCGGGGAUAAACGCCAUUGGGUUCAGGAGGCGGGACUCAGAGCACAGCCCAGGAGACAGGUCUUAGGGCGGGGCUAAGGCCAGACCCAGAGAAGGGCUCAGGAGGCGGGGCCGGGGCGGGGCGUUGACUAUGUCGUAGCACAUGGCCAGGCGGUGCGCGGACUCUGGGAGGUGAAGCUUAGGACGGGCCCACGUGGGGAGGGGCCCAGGGUCCGGGAGGCGGUGCAGAGUCAGGGCUGGGCUGCGCUCAGGAGGCGGGCCCUGGGAGGCGGAGCUUAGGGAGGGGCCGGUGUCGGGAGGGACCCAGGGACUGGGAGGCCGGUCGGGGCUGGGCUCAGGGGCCGAGACCUAGCUGGGCUUGGGGCGGGGCUGAGAGGGAGCGAGGGGUCCAGGAUCCAGGGAAACGGGGAGGGGUUUGAGGAGGGGAUCGGAAUGUGGCUCAAUUUCGGGAGGCGUUACCUGCGGAGGGUUUGAGGCAGGCCCAGGAGCGAGCCCACGGUCUGCUGACGCGGGGCCAGGGUCGGGCCCCAGGAUCCGGAGCUUCGGUCGGAGCCGAGUCCGGGUUUGGGGCCCGGGAGGCGGGGCCAGUUAGGGUGAGGGUCCCUGGGAUCGACGGGUCAGGCCUUGGGCUAACGUAGGCACUCGCAGUUCCUCCGCCUUCAGGAAGGUCUUUUUAGCAGGGGCCUUACGGGUGCGCGCUUCGGUCCUGGAGGCCUUAACCUAGCCUCUUCUACGUCAGCGCCACCCGUCUGGGGCCCGAAACGAGGGAGCUUUCCCUCUGUCCCCCAGCCUUUGGACUAUCACCAAACAAGCCAUUCGUUCAUCAAAUACUUAUUAAGUGCCUACCAUGUGCCUGACAAGGGAGAUGUAACGGUGCGAAAAACUGGGUGUGGUCCAGGCCCUCCAGGGGCUCAGGGGCUCGUGGAAGAAGUGGACAUUGAAGUACUUAUCACACAAAUGAGGAUAAAAGUGCGAUAGCGAUAUCUGCCACGAAGGUGAGCAGACAGAGCUAGCGGGGCUUGCAGGAGGAGUUUUGAUCUUGCAGGGACAGGAAGGAGGAGUUAGCUCGUGCGGGGUGGGAUUGGGGGUGGUGGUGAUAUAGACGUGGGGACAGAGUGGAAAACAACAAAAAUAUAAUUAUUUUAGUUCAAAGUUAUUGUGUCUUGAGUUGAAAGGCAGGGCAGUUAGCAACACAGUUCAGAUUUCAGUACUGCCCCUGAAAUCUGAACUGUGUUCAAAGUCUAAAACUUUUACCUUAGCAAAUUCCUCAUAAAACUCCAUUUGGAAGAGUCCCGAGAGCUAAUUUGUUAAGUAUACUUGCAAAAGGUAGCUGAGGAGACAGAUAAAAUCUUAUUACCUCUUUCAGAUGAGAGGCACUUGAACCCUGCUCAGCUGUGAGAAUAAGAGAGAGGAAUUAAUUCUAAUUGAAUACAGUUGUUCUCUUAUAGCUGUUGUUCCCCACCAGAACCAAAUGAGCGCAAGAUCUGACGAAGAAAAAAAGGUUCAUCUUUUAUUCUCCCAUACCCUUUCAUUUAAAUCAAGAGGAUGGGAUAUGGUUAUUGCUGUGUUUUUAGACAGAAUCAACGGUUUCUGGCUCUGAGAUGUUGCAUACACCCUCUCAGUCCCUGUAUCCUGAGAUGGAGUCACCUGAGAAUCCACAGCAAGUCCUAACCAGGGAUGGGUCUGGGUGAUUAAGGAAGGUUGGCUUCAGAACUGGGCCAGGGGCACUGCUUUGCUUUUGCUGUUUUGAUCAGCUCUCUGCCUGCAGGAGACAAGGAAAACCAAUGGGAACAGGUUAGUUAUACUCAUAAAUCCUGGGCUUAUUUUAUUAACUCACAUAAUAGCUAUUAAUUGUCUUUCCUCCAAGGAGCAAAAGGGCAUAUACGGUCAAUGCCAUAGUAAGUAACACUGUAUUAUGUUAUACUAAAAUAUUAAUUAAUCUAGGUUGGUUCAGUCUUUCUUGAGUCCAUAGAUUGGAAGCAGAUUGAGGAAGGACGCUGGCGGACCACAAAGCUGAGCCAUGCACACAGAAGAAAUCUUUUUUUCUUUUUUUUUGGAGACAGAAUUUUGCUCUCUUGUUGCCCAGGCUGGAGUGCAAUGGUGCGAUCUCGGCUCAGUGCGAUCUCGGCUCACUGCAACCUCCACCUCCCAGGUUCAAGCGAUUCUCCUGCCUCAGCCUCCUGAGUAGCUGGGAUUACAGGCGUGAGCCACCCUGCCGGGCCACUUCUGUAUUUUUAGUAGAGACAGGGUUUGAACACGUUGGCCAGGCUGGUCUCAAAUUCCUGACCUCAGGUUAUCCACCUGCCUCUGCCUCCCAAAGUGCUGGGAUUACAGGCAUGACCCACCGCGCCUGGCCAGAAGAAAUCUUUAUCUUGGUGUGCAGUCUCUGGUGAUGGACAAAUGUCAUCUCUCUUGGAUCUGAAUCUGGAAGGAUCAAGGCACUGAAGGGAUUUUUUUGUUUCAGACAGUCUCCCUCUGUUGCCAGGCUGGAGUGCAGUGGCAGGAUCUCAGCUCACUGCAACCUCUGCCUCCCGGGCUCAAGGGAUUCUCCUGCCUCAGCCUCUCGAGUAGCUGGGACUACAGGCAAGCGUCACAACGCCCAGCUAAUUUUUGUAUUUUUAGUAGAGACAGGGUUUUGCCAUGUUGGCCAGGAUGGUCUCAAUCUCUUGACAUCAUGAUCCACCUGCCUUGGCCUCCCAAAGGGCUGGGAUUACAGGUGUGAGCCACCAUGCCCGGCCUCACUGAAGGGAUUUUUUUAAUGUCACGUGGCUCUCACAGGUGCGGUGUGUUCAGGAGCAAGUGAAGAUUACGACGGAUGCUUAAAAACAAACGUAAAAUUCCAGGUGGUGUUGCUAUGGGGAGCAGCAUUAGGACAAUCUGAGUGGUUUCAGUUGCAAGAGUGUGCGUGUACGUGCAAGAACUACAGUCAAGAUUCAACUUCUGGCUUUGAGGGUCUCUUUAAUAACAGUAAUAGCAACCUAAGUCAGUUUAACAGUAUGGAAUGGUUGCCUUUUAGAAGUUAAGCUAUGGGCAUGGAAAUUCAAUCAGUACAUUGAAGUUUUUCCUUUAUCUCUUCUAUGGUUAAUGGUUUCUGCAGAAAAGGACCAAUUGAUUUCUUUCUAAAACGUUGCUUCGGGGUGUAGAGACCUUUAUAGGUCAUGUUUCAACUUACAGAAAAUUUUAUAGUUCAAAUAUAAAUUACGUUCCAUGUGGACUUUGUAAUAGAAUUUAAGGUUAAGUAAAGUUUCCACUUUCCUUAGGCUGUUUGCAGUGCCCAGCAGGCCCCAUCAUAUCGAGAUGGAAGUUAUGUUAAAGGAGGAGAUUGGUCAGGGAUGGGCAGAAUAAGGAAUAUGGGCAGCUCAGGCUAAUGAUACAAUGAUUAUGAUGUAGAAAGAGGGUCAGGCAUGGGAUAACGCCUGUAAUCCCACUGCCUUGGGAGGCCAAGACAAGAGAAUCGCUUGAGGUCAGACCAGCCUGGUCAACAGAGUGAGACCUAACCUGUACAAAAAAAACACACACAAAAAACAAAAAAAUUAGUCGGGCAUGAUGGUGUGCACCUGUAGUCUCAGCCACUUGGAAGACUGAGGUCAGGGGAUCCCUUGAGCCCAAGAGUUUGAGGCUGCAGUGAGCUAUAAUCACAUAACUGUACUCCAGCCUGGGUGACAGGGUGAGGCCCUGACUUAAAAAAAUAUUGAGUCAGGGAAAAAAUUUGAAAUCUUAAUCCUCAGUACCCAGGAAUAUGACCUUAUUUGGAAAUAGGGUCUUUCUAGAUGUAAUGAAGUAACGAUGAGUCAUCCUGGAUUGGGGGCUGCUGGUGAGGGGGCAGAUGCAAUGACUGGUGUCCUUAUAAAAGAAGAGAAUGAGGGCCGGGCAUGGUGGCUCAUGCCUGUAAUCUCAGCACACUUUGGGAGGGUGAGGUGGGGGGAUCACUUGAAGUCAGGAGUUCGAGACCAGCCUGGGCAAUAAUAACAAUAAAAAAGCCAUUUUAGAUUCCAAUCCACUGAAAGAAAACUGUCCCUUAGUUAAUGUCAUGCUUAUUGGAUCCAUGAAGUCUUUGAAAAUUUAAACUACAAGGACACUGCUCUCUGUGGUGGUGGAGAGAAUACCAAGGAUUUAAAGAUCUUUAAGAAAGAGAAUGUACAAAGCGUACCCAUUGGAAACAGCAAGAUGAUGAUAAUCAUACUGACAGUAAUAAUAAGCUCAAAUAUAUAGAGCUUACUAUGUAUCAUGAAUUGUUCUGAAUUCUUUAUACAUAUAUGUUACCUCCUUUACCCUCAUGGCAGCCCAGUAAAGGCGCCAUUCCCCAUUUUACAGCUGGGGAAACUGAGUUACAGAGCUUUUCUGCACUGAGUCAUCAGGAGCAAAUGCUAGAUCAGGUAAUUGAACCCAAGCAAUCUGGUUCCAGAGCCAAACAGAUGUAUUUUUUAUGGCAUAAAAACAUAUACAUACAUUUUUAGGGGAAGGGUGGGUGUAGGAUGGGAUGAGGAUUCUGGGUAAUUGCUUGGUAAGUGCCAAAUACCUUUCUUGUCUGUCCCUCUUUUCAAAUGAUAAAGUAAUGUCAAUUGCAACACUUUUUUUUUUUUUUUUUUUGAGACAAGGUCUAGCUGGAGUAGAGUGAUGCAGUCAUAGCCCACUGCAGCCUCAAAUUCCUGGGCUCAAGCGAUCCACCCAAAUCAGCUUCCCAAGUAGUUGGGACUACAGGCCCACACUACUGUGCCCAGCUAAUUAUUUUAAUUUUUGCCGAGAUGGCAGGUGGCGGAAGGGGGGUGUCUUGCUAUGUUGCCCAGGCUGGUCUCGAACUCUUGACCUCAAAUGAACCUCCUGCCUCAGCCCCACAAAGCUCUGGAAUUAUAGGUGUGAGCCACUGUGGCUGGCUACAAUACUAUUUAUUUAUAUUUUGGACCAACAGAUAUUCUAGCCUAUAAGAAAUGUGAUGCUCUCUGUACAUUGAAGAGUUGGUCUAAUAUUUGUCCUGGUGGAUACAGAAAUUGCCUGUCUGCUCCGCUCUGGUUGAAGAAACCAGUCCGACUGUCUCUGAGGCUAUGGAGCAGUCCAUCAAGAAUGAAAGCCCUCUGCCAGGCACAUUGGCUCACACCUGUAAUACCAGCACUUUGGGAGGCUGAGGCAGGUGGAUCACUUGAAGUCAGGAGUUCGACACCAGCAUGGCCAACAUGGUGAAACCCUAUUUCUACAAAAAAUAGAAAAAUUAGCUGGGCCUGGUGAUACGUGCCUGUAAUCCCAGCUACUCAGGAGGCUGAGGCAGGAGAAUCACUUGAACUUGGGAGGCACAGGUUGCAGUGGGGAGCUGAGAUCACACCACUGCAUUCCAGCCUCCGCGACAGAGCGAGACUCUCUCAAGAAAAAAAAAAAAAAAGAAUGAAUGUCCUCAUGAUGGCCUCAAGCACGUUGGUCCCUGAAGAGAGUCAAGGAAGGCCCACUUUACUCUGCACUGCAAAGCAGGCAGGUGAACAGGAUGAGAAGUGGAUUCAGUGAGAGGCAUUUACCCAGAGGAUUUUCUGCCUAAUGAUAGGGUCUCUCUCUCUGCCACCCAGGUCAGAGUGCAGUUGACGCAGGGCAGGGGAGCCCCGAAAUGGAGCAUAGUGUGUCCGGAACUGGUGGGUUCUUGGUCUCACUGACUUCAAGAAUGAAGCCGCGGACCCACGCGGUGAGUGUCACAGUUCUUAAAGGCGGCGUGUCUGGAGUUUGUUCCUUCUGAUGCUCGGAUGUGUUCAGAGUUUCUUCCUUCUGGUGGGUUUGUGGUCUCGCUGGCUUCAGGAGUGAAGCUGCAGACCUUCAAGGUGAGUGUUACAGCUCUUAAGGCGGCGCGUCUGGAGUUGUUUGUUUCUCCCGGUGGGUUCAUAGUCUCGCUGGCUUCAGGAGUGAAGCUGCAGACCUUCGAGGUGAGUGUUACAGCUCAUAAAGGCAGUGUGGACCCAAAGAGUGAGCAGCAGCAAGAUUUAUUACAAAGAGCAAAAGAACAAAGCUUCCACAGUGUGGAAAGGGACCCCAGUGUGUUGCCAGUGCUGGCCGGGGCAGCCUGGUUUUACUCCCUUAUCUGGCCCCACCCACAUCCUGCUGAUUGGUCCAUUUUACAGAGAGCUGAUUGGUCUGUGUUACAGAGAGCUGAUGGGUCUGUUUUGACAGGGUGCUGAUUGGUGCAUUUACAAUCCCUGAGCUAGACACAAAAGUUCUCCAAGUCCCUACUAGAUUAGCUAGAUACAGAGUGUCGACUGGUGCAUUCACAAACCCUGAGCUAGACACAGGGUGCUGAUUGGUGUGUUUACAAACCUUAAGCUAGAUACAGAGUGCCGAUUGGUGUAUUUACAACCCCUUAGCUAGACAUAAAGGUUCUCAAAGUCCCCACCAGACUCAGGAGCCCAGCUGGCUUCACCAAGUGGGUCCCACACGGGGGCCGUAGGUGGAGCUGCCUGCCAGUCCCAUGCACUGUGCUGGCACUCCUCAGCCCUUGGGUGGUCGAAGGGACUGGGUGCCCUGGAGCAGGGGGCAGUGCUCAUCGGGGAGGCUCAGGUCACGCAGGAGCCCACGGCAGGUUGGGUGGAGGCUCAGGCAUGGUGGGCUGCAUAUCCCGAGCCCUGCCCUGCAGGGAAGCAGCUAAGGCCCAGUGAGAAAUUGAGCAAAGCAGCUGCUGGCCCAGGUGCUAAGCCCCUCACUGCCCAGGUCCAUCGUGGCCGGCGAGCCACUCUGAGUGCGGGGCCCAGUGAGCCCAUGCCCACCUGGAACUCACACUGGCCCGCAAGCGCCAUGCCCAGCCCCGGUUCCUGCCCGCGCCUCUCCCUCUACACCUCUCUGCAAUCUGAGGGAGCCGGCUCCAGCCUCGGCCAGCCCAGGAAGGGGCUCCCACAGUGCAGCCGUGCGCUGAAGGGCUCCUCAAGUGCCACCAAAGUGGGACCCCAGGCAGAGGAGGCGCCGAGAGUGAGCUCGAGGGCUGCCAGCAUGCUGUCACCUCUCAAUAGCACGUGAGGGUUCUUGUCUUUACCCAGGAAAGAAUUCAAGGGCAAGCCGGAGGUUUAGAAGAAAACAGCUUUAUUGAAGAGGCAGCAUUACAGCCCUGUGACUGCUCCUGUAGGGCAGGGUUACCCUGGAGGCAGAGAGUAGCGGCAGAGAGUCUGCAAUCACAUUUAUACUCACUUUUAAUUGCAUGCAGAUUAAAGUGCAGUUUAUGCAGGAAUUUCUAGAAAAUGGGUAGUAACUUUUGAGUCAUUGGGUCAUUGCCAUGGAAAGGGGCAGUAACUCCCUGGUGUUACCUUGGCAAUAGUAAACUCACAUGGCACACUGGUGGGCAUGUCUGAUGGAAAGCUGCUUCUGCCCCAGCCCUGUUUUAGCUAGUCCUCAAUUUGGUCUGGUGUCCAAGCCCUGCCUGUGGAGUCAAGUCCUGCCUCCUAUCUCACAGUGGCGUGAUCAUGGCUCGCUGCAGACUCAACACCCCCGGGCUCAAGCAGUUCUCCCACCUCAGCCUCCUGAGUUGCUGGGACCACAGGCACGUGCUACUACGCCCAGCUACAUUUUUUGCAUUUUUUGUAGAGAUGGUGUUUCACUGUGUUGCCUAGGCUGGUCUCAAACUCCUGGGCUCAAGCAAUAUACCUACGUUAGCCUUCUAAAGUGCUGGGAUUACAGGUGUGAGCCACUGCACCCAGCCCAACAUUACAUUUUUAAUCUCAAGUCACUUCUCUCUAGGUUUUGAUUUCUUCUUUAAAAUGGCGGAACUAAGAGCAUCUAUUUUAUAGGGUUGUUGGAAAGACAAAAAUGAAAGAACUGCUGUUCAAUGUUUAGUGAAGCACUGUGCACAAUUUUGAAUAAUGAAGUUGGUGUUUAUUUUUUAUUAUUUAUUUAUUUUUUAGAGACGGGGUCUUGCACUGUUGCUCCAGCUGGAGUGCAGUAGUGCAAUCACAUCUUAGUGCAGCCUUGACCUCCUGGGCUCAAGAAAUCCUGCCACCUCAGCCUCCUGAGUAGCUGGGACUACAGGCAUGCAUCGCCAUGUCUGGCUAUUUAUUUAUUUGUUAGUUUUUUGUAGAGAUGGGGUCUCCCUAUGUUGCCUGGGCUGGUCUUGAACUCCUGGCCUUAAGCAAUCCUCCUGUCUUGGCCUCCCAAAACACUGAGAUUACAGGUGUGAACCACCAUGGCCAGCCUUAUUUUUAUUUUUAAAUCAGCCUUGUCAAGUUGAAUUGGUCAUUAAUCUUGUAUAAUGGUAACUUGUGGCAGCAUUGGUUGGGCGGGGGGUGGGGAACAUUUAGGACCCUGUGGGCUACAACUCGUAGUGUGUGCACUUAUUUUGUUUUGUUUUGUUAUAUUAUAUUAUAUUAUAUUAUAUUAUAUUAUAUUAUAUUAUAUUAUAUUUUUUUCAGACAGGGUCUCACUCUGUUGCCCAGACUGGAGUGCAGUAGCAUGAUCUUGGCUCACUGCAACCUCUGCCUCCCAGGUUCAAGUGAUUCUCCUGACUCAGCCUCCAGAGCAGCUGGAACUACAGAUGUGCGCCACCACGCCUGGCUAAUUUUUGUAUUUUUAGUAGAGCUGGGGUUUCACAACGUUGGCCAGGCUGGUCUCAAACUCCUGAACUCAGGUGAUACACCUGCCUCAGCCUCCCAAAGUGCUCGAUUACAGACGUGAGCCACCGUGCCUGGCUGUGCACUCAUGUUUGAUUUUUGCAGAACCACCCUUCCCUAAUGGUUGUCUCCUAGAUCCAAGGUGACUUUAUUCAUUUUAGAAUGAACUUACCCUAUUGAUACUGUAACCAGAGUUGACAUACAUCACGAUUGGCAGAACCCGGUCAUGUUUAGCAAGAUGGAAGUGUUCUGGAAGCUCCUCCUUCUUGUAGGUGUGGAGGUGAGGGUACGCAUUCUUCAGUGCCUGGUAAAGGGUUUCCUCUUGCCCCAAUUUGGGCAGGGGCAUCCCAAAGCCACCGUAGCCCACAAUAUCAAACUUGACCAAGUCCCUGAACUUCAUGUUGUUAGACAAGGGAUCUUGUUGACAUUGGGUCUCUUCUUCACGGUGGUCAUCCCACAGUCUCAUGUGAUGAUGACGCUGAGGUGCUCUGCAGGCUGUGUUUCUCAGUGGCUGCCACCAGAUACCCGAUGGUCCUGUCGAUUUGCUGAAUCAUCAACUUGCUGUUCUCUGCCUCUGGCUCGAAUCAAUGUCCCACGUUAUCUGGCUCUCUGUAGCACAGAGUCACAAAGUCAAAGUCUUCCUUGGUGAACCAGUUCAUGACGGUAUCGAUGUUCUCCCUCCGCUCUGUCUCGCUGUUGUUUGGGUGAGUGUAGGACUCCACCAGGGAGCGCUUGACAGCCUCACCCUCGUAUUUAGCACCUCCCCUGGAACAGUGGAAUGAUGCCGCUCUGUUCCCCUGCAAGUACAAGAAGAAAAUUCCAUCAGGGCCAUUUCCCAUACCUUUCUAACAAUCAGCAAAGCUCGAGUUGUCUACAUCUCUGCCCCAGUCCAAAGGCAUAGAAAAUAUGUGGUCUUUGCUGUCAGACAGGGUGGAGUUAGAUUCUGGGCUUCCCCAGGAUCUCAUAGCAUCUACAACACUGUUAGUUACAAGAUGUGCUAUUAUUUUAUGGGCUACUAAGCAGAAAAAUGCUGCCAAUGAGACCGUGACAUUCCAGUGAUUGUAAGGUGUAUUCCAACUUCAGAGAUGGCAAAAUGAAAAAUACUUCCUUAGAAUAGAGAGAGAUGGUAAUUUCUGAGUUGGUGGUGGUGAAUUUGUGCAUGUGUGUUUUUUAUAUAUAUAUAUAUAUAUAUAUAUGUAUAUACACACAUAUAUACACAUAUACAUGUAUAUAUGUGUGUAUAUAUAUACAGACAUAUAUACAUAUACCUGUGUAUAUAUAUACACACAUAUAUACAUAUAUAUAUGUAUAUAUAGUGGCACAGUGGUUCAAUCAUAGCCCAUUGCACCCUUGAACUCCUGGGCUUAAGUGAUCCUGCCACCUCAGCCUCUUGAGUAGCUGGGGCCACAGGCAUGUGCCACCAUACCUAUUUUUUUUUUUUUUUUUUUGAGACACGGUCUCACUCUGUCACCUAGGUUGGAGUGCAGUGGCACAAUCUCAGCUCACUGCAACCUCUGACUCCUGGGUUCAAGCAAUUCUCGUGCUUCAGCCUCCCAAGUAGCUGGGAUUAUAGACUUGUGCCACUAUGCCCAGCUAAGUUUUGUAUUUUUAGUUGAGAUAGACUUCUGUCGUGUUGGCCAGGCUGGUUUCGAAUCCCUGGGCUGAAGUGAUCCACUUGCCUUGGCCUCCCAAAGUGCUGGGAUUACAUGUGUGAGCCACCGCACCUAGCCCUAAUUUUUUUUUUUUUUUUAAAUAUUUGUAGAGAUGAGGUCUCACUAAUUUGCCCAGGCUCGUCCUGAACUCCUGGGUUCAAGUAAUUCUCCUGCCUCAGCCUCUCAAAGUGCUGGGAUUACAGGCAUGAGACACCGUGCCCGGCUGGUAGUGAGUUUUAAAAUCUCCCAGUGUCUCAGUGUCUCAGUGUUUCUACCUGUAGAAUGCCAAAAAGUAGAUGGCAUCUUUGUGAGGAUUAAGCAGGCUAGCUUUUUAUUUUUUUUAUUUUUAUUUUUAUUUUUUUUGGAGACAGAAUUUCUCUCUUGUCACCCAGGCUGGAGUGCAAUGGCGUGAUCUUGGCUCACUGCAACCUCUGCCUCCUGGAUUCAAGUGGUUCUCCUGACUCAGCCUCCCAAGUGGCUGGGAUUACAAAGCCAGCUAGCUUUAAGAUACAGUGUUGGGCAUCACAUUUUGGCACGGAGCAGGCACUCUUUUCUUUGCCCCCAGGUGGGACUAAGCCACCACAAGCCUUCCCUGGUGUGUGCAGUGGGUGAUGAAUGCUUGCCUGCUCAGCACCCACUUCCUGGUGGGCUGGGUCACAUUACUCUGACUCCUCCUUGAGCUUCAGUCUGUGCCUGGUUCAAGAUGUAUUGACUAACCCGAGGAUCCAGAGGUGGGAUGUAGCUCUGGCCUGGCCAGAGGACCAAGGAUGCUGCAUGCCAUGGCUACAGCUACUGGUUCAGCUUUGGGCUCAUGUCCUAGUGAGAGCCAAUGAGAUGUUAUCUUGGGAUAUCUGCUGGGCUGUUGGGAAGGGGACAGGCUGCCCUGCUAAUCCCCAUUCCUGAUGCUGAGUGAUCUGAGAAAAUCACUUGUAAAAUUUGGGGGUGUUUGGAAGAAGGGGAGACUGAUGUCUCUUUCUCUCCACAGACAUCUGAUCAGCUACAGAGCUUGACUAACCUACCCAGAGGCAGAAUGAUAUGGUGGUUAAAAGUGUGCUCUGGGCCGAGAUUUUGCCACUGUACUCCAGCCUGGGUGACAGAGUGAGACUCCAUCUCAAAAAAAAAAAAAAGUGUGCUCUGGGCUGGGUGCAGAGGCUCACGACUGUAAUCCCAGCACUUUGGGAGGCUGAGGCAGGAGGAUCGCUUGAAGACAGGAGUUUGGAAUCAGACCCCAUAUCUAGAAAAAUGUUUUUUAAAAAUUAGCUGGGUUGCUGGUGAAUGCCUCUAGUCCCAGCUACUCGGGAGGCUGAGGCGGGAAGAUUGCUGGAGCUCGGGAGUUCAAGGCUGCAGUGAGCUAUGAUCAGGCCACUGCACUCUAGUCUGAAGGACAGAGAGAGACCCCAUCUCUCUGAACAACAAAAAUGUGUGCUCUGGUGCCGCACUGCCUGGUUAGAUCCUUUCUCCACCACUUAGCUGCAUGUUAUAUAAAUGCUCUCUUCAGUUUCCUCGUCUGUAACUUGGGGAUGGUAAUGCUGCCCCAAGAAGUGGUUAUGGGGACUAAAUGCAUGUGGGCAUGUUGGUAAGUAUUCAACAAGCUUGAUUUUUCCGGGAGAGGGAGAAAGAGCAUGCAGUGAGGUGGGAUGGUCAGGGGCUUUGGGACAAGGAUUAUUUCCUCUGGCUUCUGCCUCCUGGGAGGUACUAAGGAGGGAUCUGAAAUGUGUCUGCAGGCCCCAGAAUUGGGGACUGCAGAGGGAAAUUGAGAUCAGGGACCCUAGUCUGGCAGAAAUGAGUGCAGCAUGGGGCAUUGGGUUCCUUCCAUCAGAGGCAUGGGGCGUAUUGCAGACAGUCAUGAAAUGUGGCUGAAUCUUGCAGGGAACCCUCGGUCCUCGGGUUGCUGCUUGAGAUAAAGACCCCUGUCAGUGGAACCUGGUGACCUUCACCCUUCUGUGUCAGGCUGCAGACAGCAAGAGAUGGCAGCAGAUUACACCCAACGGGAAAAGGGCCAUUGCCAUCCCACAGGUUGCCAUAGGAGCAGAUGACAUCUCUCCCUCUCCUCCUCCAGCAGUGUCAGGUGGGGAAGAGGUGGGUGGGUGUGCACAAAAGAGUAGACCACAGACCAUGCUCCUUCUCCUCCGGUCUGCUGGGGCCCCAAGAGAGUCUUCAGCUCUUGGCCAGGGACCGGCUGACACAGGAGAACAAAAGACCUGAGGCUGGGAUAACAUGGUGGUGCAGUUCAUCCUCUGGAGCUCCCUGUGAGGUCAGACUGGAGCAGGUCUCCAGCUGAGACCACAUCUCACUUAGCUCCUUCCCUGCCAUAUCCUGUUUUCCUUACUCCUAUCUCCUAAGACUUCUUCCUGAAUGAAUUACGUGCACUCAAUCCUUGCCUCAGGCUCUGCUUUUAGGGAACUUGACCUAAGACAGAAAUCUUAGUACUAAAUACUUUGCAAGGCCUCACAAGCGCUGCUAUCCACAAGCAGGUGAGAUAUUAUCUUCCCUACCACCUGGCAGUCAUAGUCUAUGAUGCGAUUCAGCUUUAUGGAAGUGCUUCUCUAAAGAACUUCCCCCAAUAUAAGAUUAUCUUAAUCUGCUUACUUGUUUAUUGUCCAUUUAGCUGCUCUAAAAUGUGAGCUCCAAAUCAGGGGCCAUGUCUGGUUGGUUACCCAUUUCCUGGGACCUAGGAAGGGCCUAGCUCAGAGCAGGUGCUCACUAUUGAUGGACUGCAUGUUGAAAGAAUGCAUGAAUCUCAUCUCCUUUUGUGGGUGAAAAACUCAUCCUAUUCUCACCCUGAUUAACUUCCUUUCUUUCUUUCUUUCUUUUUUUUUUUUUUUCCAAAUUGGAGUCGUGAUCUGUUACCCAGGCUGGAGUGCAAUGGUGUGAUCUCAGCUAGCUGCAACCUCUGCCUUCUGGAUUAAAGCAAUUCUCCUGCCUCAGCCUCCUAUGUAGCUGGGAUUACAGGUGUAUACCACCAUGCCCGGCUAAUUUUUUGUAUUUUUAAUAGAGACAGGGUUUCACCAUAUUGGCCAGGCUGGUCUUGAAAUCCUGAGCUCGUGAUCCACCCGCUUUGGCCUCCCAAAGUCCUGGGAUUACAGGCAUGAGCCACCAUACCCAGCCACUCUUGAUUAACUUAAUGGAAAUAUUUACAGAGAUUCUGUCUCUUCUGGGUUCUAGCGUCUUAUGUGUAACCUCUGCAGGUAAUACAUUUUCCUUCCUGAUGAUAGCAUUUCUAUGGUUGCUUUAACUUGCAAAUCUUCUAAUACUUAUUUAUUCCAUUUCUGAUUGGCAUUAGACAUAAUUCUCAAUUUUUAGUGACAGCACUUCGUUUAACUUACAUAUAAAUCGACUUUGCCUUGAAAUGUGACAUUGACUAGAAGGAUGAAACUUCUAACAUGCUGUAGAACACAGUUUGACUGGCUAAUUUAUUAUUUAGAAAAAGCUAAUAUUGCCAUUAUGAGGGACUUAGGUGGCUCUGAAGAACCGGUUGUAUUUCUAAUGUUUGCGAUGUUAAAUCACAGAUAUUGCUAACGUGAAAUAGUUUCCAUAUGCUGUGUUCUCAAUACACACCUUUUCCAAAGAUAUCCCAAGCUGUAGUCUUAGGAAACUGUGAUUUUUCUUAUUUCGUCUCAUGGGAAUUUGGGGAGCUAUGGGGGAUCUCCAUAAAAUGAGCUCCAGAAAGACACAUGUGUGUACACGCACACACUCACACACACACUCACACACACACACUCACACACACACACACACUCACACACACUCUCACACACACACUCACACACACACUCACACUCACACACACACACUCAUGUACCACACCACACUUGACUCUGUUUAUUUGGUACCCAUGAUUAUCAGAAGUGCUAUUUUCAACAAAUACUUCUGAGAAAUAAUCUGAAUACUUAAUUGGAUGCAAAAUAGUGGCUAUUUACUAUUCUACCCUUUAGUUAGCAUAAUCAGUGUUUCCAGCAGCAAAAGCAAUUGGAAAAUCGCUAGUUUUAUUAGGUUCAUUAUUCUCCCAUAGUGUAGUGUGGCAUCAGCAUGACUAUUAUUCUUAAAUUGCCUCUUUAAAACAAGAGCUGGUGCUUCUUCCAGGGAAUUCCUAACUCUUGGGUUUUGUAGAGGUUCCAAAACUCUUUAGAACCUAUAAUUCAAGGAAAGGCUCCUCUUUGGUUUUGCAUUUUGUCUGGUCUCUUUCGGUGACAUAAUUUAUAUCACAAGGUGCACACGUUUUGGGGAGGCUCAUGGACAGCCCAUCGCGCUUGUGCUUUGGUAGGAAGUAUGUGCCGUUAAGGGGAAGGAGUUAGUUACUGAUUCUAAGGAACAAUUGGGUAGAAAGAGAUGGACUCCCUGUAUUUCAAAUUCAGAACUCAAGCUUGGCUCUAAGCGUUUCCUUGCUUUGCUGUGCUCCAGGGGAGUCACUGAGCAGGAGGAAGCGAGUUGCCUGAGAUUCCUCAAAGCCCACAGCCCUUUUGGAGGUUACAUUGUUAUUCUCUGAGCCUUUAUGAUACAUAAUAAAGACCUAGCUUGGACCAAUAUUAGGAUGAGUUAUCUUGCUAUGAACAUUCUUUUAGGUAGAAGUUGCUGGUCCCAUCUUGCUCACAAUCCUCCAAAGUUUGGAAGUUACUUUCCAGGAGACUUAGCUUGCACUGAGAGCUGCCCUCCCACCUUCUGUCCAAAUUUCCUCUUGGGAGUAGCCUAACAAGGUGCUGUCACAGACCCUUGCCAGCCACGAUGACCCCACCCAGACCAUCCCUCUGCUGUUUCACUCUUUGAUACUCUCUGGAGCUCUCUGGGGAGGGGUGAGACCUGCUGUCUGGUUUGUACGGUUUGCCCAGGUCUUACAGUCAUGGCUGGCUGCCCCUCUCUGAGAACUGGGACUCCUGAACUUGGUGAAAUGCCUCAGCCAUCGAUCAUGUUAAAUUAUCGGGGACACUCAUUUAAAAUCUGAGUCUGCUCCAGAUGGACUCUCUCUCUUUCUGCCCUGACCGUGAGGGAGACCGUGAGAGAGAGAAACCGUGAGAGAGACCAUCAGAGAGAGAGAGAGAGACCGUGCCCUGACCUGCUGGACAGUGGAGAUGCUCGUGGGCUGUGAGCAACAGAUGCAAAGGCUGCCGGGAAUCCCAUCUUUCCAGCAUCAUCUGCCAAGGCACAUCAGUUCCUGGGUAUCUUGAUGGGUUCUGGCAGCAUUACUGUCAUUGAAGGAAAUCAUUUUAGCCAUAUUAAAGGUAAAUGCAGCAAUCCCCACACAGGCUGCCUGGAAGGGACGCGGGACAAGGGUAGGUUUUCCCUGUGAUGGACAGGAGGCAGGCGGCCUUCCCACAGCCCUGCCUGCCAGCUGGAGUGCUGUGCCGAGGCGGGUUCACCCGGGCCGCAGUUCGCUCUGAUUGCAGCGGUUUCUCGCCAGCUCCUUGGAGAGCUGGCAGAUGACCCAGCCCCACAGAAGGAGCUGUGAAUGGAAGAACGAGAUACAACAAUUUGAUAUCCACUUGCCAGAUGAGCCGGGUGUCGUCAGUCGCCUGGCUCUUUGCCAACCUCUUUUUGCACAAACACUUAUGAAUUGAGCCAGGAGGAAAAGCACUCUGAUUAUGAAUUGAGCAGAAGGAAACAAAGUUCUGCAGAUAAACACCAAUGAGGCCAAAAACCACGAAUAAGAAAAAUGACAGAAAAGGAGAACCCUCCCAGAAGCCUCCUGCCAGUGAACGGCCACCAUAGCAAGAGCAGGGAGGGCAUGGGUUUUGAACUGUGAGAUAAGGAAGAUGAUGAAAACCUCCCUAGCAGCCAGGCAAGCACAAGAUUCCUGUGAAAUCCAGGUCUAAGUGUUUUGACCACAGAAGUAAUAUUAUGUCAUAGUUGAGAGCUGUGAGUUGCUGAACCCAAAGCGAGUUCAAAUCCGAGCUCUGCCUCCUGUUACCUGUGUGACUUUGAGAAGUUCCAGCACUGCUUUGUGCCUCAGUUUUGUCAUCUGUUAAAUGGGCAUAAUCACAGCUCCUGCCUCAGAGUUGUUGUAAAUUAAUACAUGUAAAGCACUGAAAUCAGCCUGGUAUACAGUAAGUGUUAUGAACGUUAUUUUCUUGGAAGGACAGAACUUAUUUUCAUGGUCUAAUCCUAAAAGUGUAAAAAAUGUGAGAGAAGAGGAAAGAAUCUGGAGUCUCACCAUGAGGGGGAAAAGUCAACUUGAAGCAGGACAGGGUCUUGCUAUGUUGUGCAGGCUGGUCUCAAACUCAUGGGCUCAAGUGAUCCUCCUGCCUUGGCCUCUCAGAUGAAAUGGGAAAAGUUCCAUUGUCCCCCUUGAAGGGCAUGUGAUGCGGGUGUGGUUUGCUUCUUCAGUGCCCCACUGCUCAAACCUCUAGGGGAGCAUGCAGACAGGCAGGGAGCCCCAUGGCAGUGUCCAGGGGUGAAUGUUUAUAGCUGAAGCUCCAGUGGGCGUGCGUUAGAGGGUGCUCUUUUAGUUUAGCCGUCUCUAGGUAGCUUGUGUUAGUCGGGUCAAUUAGACCCCCACCUUAUUGCAAGGACAGAGGGCUCUCUUUGUCCCGGGGUUCUUGCCUUGGUGUACCGGAAGUGGUGCGAUCUCAGCUCACUGCAAGCUCCGACUCCUGGGUUCACGCCAUUCUCCUGCCUCAGCCUCCCGAGUAGCUGGGACUACAGGUGCCCGCCACCAUGCCCGGCUAAUUUUUUUGUAUUUUUAGUAGAGAUGGGGUUUCACUCUGUUAGACAGGAUGGUCUGGAACUCCUGACCUCGUGAUCUGUCCGCCUCGGCCUCCCAAAGUGCUGGGAUUACAGGCUUGAGAGUGCAAGGUUUUACUGAGUGGAAGUAUCUCUCAGCAGUUGGGGGAGCCAGAAGGGAGAUGGUUUACCCCUGGAGUCGGGUGAGUGGCCUGACUCUUCUCUAACUGUCCCAGCCAAACUCUGGGUUGUUCUGCCAGUCAGUGGCCUGCGGUGUGCCGGUGCCCAUUGGUGCGUUCCUCUUGACGUCCACCACCCUUGUGUUCCUCCGCUGAUGUGCUCCUCUCGAAGUCCAGCUGCCUGUGUGUCUGCCUGCUAGGGUCUCAGGGUUUUUAUAGACACAGAAUGGGGGUGUGGCAGCCGGGGUGGUCUUGGGAAAUGCAACAUUUGGGCAGGAAAACAAAAAUGCCUGUCCCCACCUAGGUCCGUGGGAACAGGCCCUGGGGUGGAGCCCUAGCCAGGGACCACACCCUCCUCUACCCAGUACUUCCCUUCCUCACUUCCAUAUCAUUUAAAAGGACCACAUUCUUCCCUUCUGAGCACUUCCCUUCUGUAUCACAAAGUGUUGGGAUUAUAGGCAGAGCCACUGGUCCCAGCCAAUUCCGUUCUUUUAAUGCAAACUAGAAAAUAGGUGUUCAGAAAGGCCUGCCCUAUCCACCUCAGGGAGUUGCUAUGAAGAUCAAAUUAGAUCAUGUGCAACAGAAGUUUAGAAAACAUUCCAAAAGCACUGUGCAAUGGGAAUGUAUUUUUAAACUCCACUGAGUGGACUUAGAACUAUGUUUUUUUUUCUUUCUUUUUUUUCUUUGAGACAGAGUUUCACUCUUGUUGCCUAGGGUGGAGUGCAACGAUGCCAUCUUGGCUUACUGCAACCUCUGCCUCCCAGGUUCAAGUGAUUCUCUGCCUCAGCCACCCGAGUAGCUGGGAUUGCAGGCGCUCGCCACCAUGCCUGGCUAAUUUCUUUUUCUUUUGUUUUUGUCUUUUUAGUAGAGAUGGGGUUUCAGUGUUGGCCAGGCUGGUCUCGAACUCGUGACCUUAGGUGAUCCACCCACCUUGGCCUCCCAGAGUGCUGGGAUUAAGGCUUGAGCCACCGCACCCAACCUGUGUUUCUUUUUUAAGCAAGAAAACAAAUGCCUCUCCCCAGCGCUCACUAAACAAAUCCCUGUGUUUUUUUUUUUUCCAUAGGAUUCUUAUCCUUCUUGCCCCACUGCAAACAAUCUAUUUUCUUUUGGCCCUUCCGUCCAUCUGUGAAAGGGUCAGGCUUUCUAGCUAACCCUUAAUCAAAUAUUUUUGAUGACCACAGUCAAGACAGUACUUAUUAUUUUUUUUUGAGACGGAGUUUCACUCUUGUUGCCCAGGCUGGAGUGCAAUGGUGCAAUCUCGGCUCACUGCAACCUCUGCCUCCAGGGUUCAAGUGAUUCUCUUGCCUCAGCCUCCCAAGUAGCUGGGAUUACAGGUGCACAACACCACGCCCAGCUAAUUUUUGUAUUUUUAGUAAAGAUGGGGUUUCUCCAUGUUGGUCAGGCUGGUCUCGAACUCCUGACCUCAGGUGAUCUACCCACCUCAGCCUCCCAAAGUGCUGGGAUUACAGGGGUGAGCCACCCUUACUGGCCAAGACAGUGCUUGUUAAUGCCUGAGAUGCAUCCAGGAGCACAUGACCUGGCUGUGACUGUUCUAACAAAGUUCCCCAAAUGGGUGGCUCAGGACAACAGAAAGUCAUUCUCUCCAGUUCCAGAAGCUUGAUGUCUGAAACGGGCAGGGCAGUGCUCCCUCUGAAGGCUCUAGGGAUGAAUCCUUCCUUACCUCUUCUGGCUUCUGGUGGUCGCUGGCAUUCCUUGGCUUGUGGCCACAUCAUUUCAUUCUCUUCCUUCAUUCUCAUGUGGCCUUCUCCCCUGUGUGUCUCUGUCUCUUCUUCUCUUCCCAUGAGGAUGCCAUUAUUACUCGAUUUAAGGUCCACGCUAUUCCAAUAUGACCUCUUUGUAAUUAGAUCUGCAGAUACCCUAUUUUCUUUUCUUUCUUUUUUUUUUUUUUUGAGAUGGAGUCUUGCUCUGUUGCCCAGGCUGGAGUUCAGUGACACAAUCUCAGCUCGCUGCAACUCUGCCUCCUGGGUUCAAGUGAUUCUUCAGCCUCAGCCUCUGAAGUAGCUGGGAUUACAGGUGCAUGCCACCAUGCCUAGCUAAUUUUUCUGUUUUUAGUAGAGACAGGGUAUUGCCAUGCUACCCAGGCUGGUCUCAAACUCCUCACCUCAAGUGAUCCUCCUGCCUCAGCCUCCCAAAGUGCUAAGAUUACAAGCAUGAGCCACCAUUCCCUGCCCCUAUUUUCUAAUAAGGUCACACUCUGGGAUUCCUGGUGAAUGUGAAUUUUUGGAAGACAGUAUUCAGUCUAGCAAAAGGCAGAACAUCCUCAUUUCCUUCCCUACCUCAGAAAUAAAGAAGUUAACUUCGACCCCUCUGAGAGAGAGAGGUUUCCUGAGCUUCCAACAAUCAAUUAUCCAAAUAUUAGUCACAGAAGAGCACUAAGGGUUGUGCACAGCACGUGGCCAGCCCGUUCUCAGAGUCCGUCAAUUUUAAGGUGAACGCUAAUCCUGAAAGAGUUUUAAAAUGUAUUUGGCAUAUCCUCGUCAUUGUAAAAUGUUCUCACACUGUGAUGGCUGGGGCUUCCCUCUCAGGUGUAAUCUGCGAAGUCAGACGUGACACAGCCUGGGUGAGGUGGGCCAAGCUGGCACCUGGGUUAGGAGGGAAGCUGGGGAAUGAUCUCCAAGGUCUCAGAUCCCAAACUGGCUUUAGCCUGAUUCACCCAGAGGGAGCUCAUAAAAAAUGCACAUUCCGGGGCCCACCCCAGACCUAAUGAAUCAGAAUUACCUGAGAAGGAGCCUGGGGUGCUCUGUUUUCAGAAGCAGCCCAGCCGAAUCCUGCAGUCAGACAGGGCUAGGAAACUGAGCUCACUCUAGCACGGUAGUUCCCAAACUCGUCUGUGCUUCAAAAAAUACAGAUGCUGAUGUCCAGGCAUGGUGGCCCAUGCCUAUCAUCCCAGCAGUUUGGGAGGCUGAGGCGGGAGUAUCGCUUGAGGCCAGGAGUUUGAGACCAGCCUGGAGAACAUAGGGAGAUACCGUCUCUAUAAAAAAUUUAAAAAUUAGCCAGGUGUGGUGGUGCCCGCCUGUGAUCCCAGCUACCGUGGAGGUUGAAGUGGGAGGGUUUCUUGAGCCCAGGAGUUGGAGGCUGUAAUGAGCUAUGAUUGUGCCACUGCACUCCAGCCUCGGUAACAGAGCGAGGCUCUGUCUCAAAAACAAAACAAAAAACGGAUGCUAUGUCCCAUUCCAGAGGUUGAGGUUUAAUUGUUCUUGGGUGUGGCCUGGGUUUUGGAAGAUUUAAAAAAAAAUCCCAGGUGACCCUAAGGUGUAGAUGAGUUUGGAAACCACACAUUUAAGGCACACUUGAAUGGGGGAGAAGUGAGGUGGUGCGGGCUAGCCGGCCAGAACCCAGGGGUGGGGCAGUAGGAACCAGCAUUGCAGAGGCCAUGAAGGCUGGGAAGCAUAGUGUCUGGGGCCCAUAAAAAUGCUUCGGCAUGAAUGCUUUAGACCUAAGACAAUUGGCUCCUAAAUGUGCAAACUGCAAGGCUGAAAUGAAUGCAUGUUUAAUGCUUUACAACAUUGUCAAGUGGUCAGCUGCAACUCCGUUCUGAGGGCGUGAUGCCUGAGAUAUGCCUGUCAUGGGGGUUGAUUUUAAUGAAUUUAAUAUGGUGUGGAAUGGGGCCUUCAAAAGUAAAGAUGUCAGUUCUAAGUUGGUUGCAGGGGUCUGGGCAAAGGUCUUGAAACCCCAUGGUGAGCAGAUGGCCAAUCCUGAACACCCCAAUUUUAAAACAGGACCUUUUUUCCAAGAGACUUUUUGAAAAUAGCUCCGGUUUUGAGGGGAGGAACCCUGGCAGGAGACAGCCAGAGUUAAGCCCAGGUGAGAGGGCGUUGGCAGGCAGGGGCCUGCCUGGUCCUCACUGAAGCUUGGUACUCAGGGUGAGCUUCCUAAACCAAUGCAGAUUUGCCGGCCCACUGAGCCUCGCAGAUGAGAAGCUGCAUUUCAACAAGGUCCUCGGUGCAGCAAAGUUUGAGAUAUACUGGGCUAGAACACCCGGGGGACACAAGGGUUCCCUGAAAACUAAGGAAAAUAGGCUGGGUGUGGUGGCUCAUGCCUGUAAUCCUUGUAUUUUGGGAUGCCAAGGCGGGCGGAUCACCUAAGGUCAGGAGUUUGAGACCAGCCUGGAUCAACAUGGUGCAACACCAUCUCUACAAAAAAUACAAAAAUUAGCUGGGUGCGGCCGGGCACAGUGGCUCAUGCCUGUAAUCCCAGCACUUUGGGUGGCUGAGGCGGGCAGAUCACGAGGUCAGGAGAUCGAGACCAUCCUGGCUAACACGUUGAAACCCUGUCUCUACUAAAAAUACAAAAAAAUUAGCCGGGCGUGGUGGCAGGUGACUGUAGUCCCAACUACUCGGGAGGCUGAGGGAGGAGAAUGGCAUGACCCUGGGAGGUGGAGCUUGCAGUGAGCCGAGAUUGUAACACUGCACUCCAGCCUGGGCAACAGAGCCAGACUCUGUCUCCAAAAAAAAAAAAAAAAAAAAAUUAUCUGAGUGAAGUGGCAGGUAGCUGUAGUCCCAGCUACUUGGGUGGCUGAGACAGGAGAAUAGAUUGAACCUGGGAGGCGGAAGUUGCAGUGGCCCGAGAUCGCACCACUGCACUCCAGUCUGGUGGCAGAGUGAGAUUCCAUCUAAAAAAAUUUAAAAAUAAAUAAAUAAAUAAAUAAUAAACAUUAAUACUGGGCUAAAAGACCCAGGAGACCCGAAGAUUCUCUCAAAACUAAGGAAAAUAAUCUAGGUCACAAAUAUAUUCUCUUCCUCCUUCUCCCCAUUGCCCCCCUCCACCAGUAAUCUUUAUAGACUCAAAUCGAGUUGAUGUUCUAUAAUCAAUUCCAGUCACUUUUAUUUAUAUUUAUUUAUUUGAGAGAUGGGGGUCUCACUAUGUUGCUCAGGCUGGUCUCAAACUCCUGGUCUCAAGUGAUCCACCCACCUCGGUCUCCCAAAAUGCUGGGAUUACAGGUAUCAGCCACUGCACCUGGCCGUCACUUUUAUUUUUGAUGUUCAAAUUAUAAUCUAAUGCCUGUGAGACCAUAGAUUCUUUUUAUGCACUCAAUACAUUUUCCUGUUUACCUUACAUUUGUAUUAUGGAAAAAUUCUGUUUUUUCCACUUGUUUCUAUUUGAUAAUGAAGCCCUCUGUGCUUAUCACCAGCCUCUGUCGCCAUCAUCUCAUUACCAAUCUGGUUUAUUUUGAAGCAAAUGUCUCCUAAUAUUUAGCCGGUGUUCAAAUUUCCCUAACCAUCCUAAAUGAGUGUUUAGAAUAGUUGUUUCAUUGGAAACAAGGUCAAAACAAAUACAUUUUACAUUUUUAGGCCAGUCUUGAAAGUAAGUGUAAAACCAUGUGUGGGGUAGGAGGUGGGACUAGUCUCUCAAGGUGGGGCCUGGAUACCAGAACCAAUUGAGGACUAGCUAAGACAGAUUCUACAAUGAAUAACACCAGGAGGUGGGAAUAUUAAGGUCCAUUGUGAAAGAUGGCUGCCACAAAUUUUUGAUCAACUAGUUAUCAACCCUGACUGCAGCUGAGAGAGAUUUGUUUUUGCUUUUUCUUUUUUUUUUUUUUCAGAGACAGGGUCUUGCUCUGUUGCCCAGGCUGGACUCAAACUCCCGGGCUCAAGUGAUUCUUCUGCCUCAGCCUCCUGAGUAGCUGAGACUACAGGUGUGUGCCACUGUGCCCAGCAAGAUUUUAAAAAAUACGUAUGCCCGGACACCACUCUAAACCAACUAAAUCAGAAUCAGAUAUAGUGAAGUCAUUAAUCAUUUUGCUCCUGGGUCUUUAUGAUAGUUUUGCUCCUGGGAAACUCCUGGGAAUGUGGUAGAGAGAGAGAAAGAGAUGGGAAAAUAAGAUUUUAAGAAGUGUUGCUAUGCAUUUUGAAAAUAAUUUUUCUUUGGUGUUUGUCUUGACGAUCGGCGGUAAACAUUUCGAUUGCCUUUAAGUAUGCUUGCAUGCUGGAAUGAUGGUUCUUUGAAUGUAGCAUCGAACUGGCAUUGGGCCACAUGGCAGCCAGCGUGAGGCUUUAUGCCACAUUUAUUAAACAUGAAUGUCAUGAGCCCAUUCUCAGGGACCUUACAAUUUGGAGGGUUAGGUCAGAUCCACAAAUCUCUUCCAUCUCAUGGUAAAGGAAACCUGGCGUGUAGCAGGAGAUGGCGUGAUAACCGUAACAUAUUGCAUGAUCAAUAUUUGUAUCCUUCUUAGCAAUAUUAAACUUUCUGACCCCCUCCAUUGUGUCAUCAAUUUGCUUAAUACAGUUUCUUCCUCAGCGUCGGUUUUUAGGCCUGGCAUAAGCUGUUUGAAACCCAGGCACGUACCCCACACAUCAUCUUUGGCCUAGUUAACACCUCCCCUCCCUGAAUGGUGGUUUGGAGAACCUGCUUGUUCCUCAUCCUACUGAUCCCAAACCCAGGACACCCCACUGCUGCUGACCAUGAUUAAACCUAAUGGAGAUUUAACGCCGUUAAAUCAGAAGAAAUUCUGAUUCUCAGGGACUGACAUUCAUUCACUUAAAUACUUGCAGAGUCGGCCAGGUGUGGUGGCUCACACCUGUAAUCCCAGCACUUUGGGAAGCCUAGGUGCGUGGAUCACGAGGUCAAGAGUUCGAGACCAGCCUGGCCAACAUGGUGAAACCCUGUCUCUACUAAAAAUACAAAAAAUAACUGGUGUAGCUGUGCGUGCCUUUAAUCCCAGCUACUCAGGAGGCUGAGGCAGGGGAUUUGCUUGAACCUGGGAGGUGGAGGUUGCAGUGAGCCAAGAUUAUGCCAUUGCACUCCAGCCUGGGCAGCAGAGCGAGACUCUGUCUCAAUAAACAAAAAACCCAAAAACUUGCAGAGUGAAUUUAAGAAACCAUGAAGUCCACAGUUUGAUCCAAUGCCUUCCUUUUUCUCUUUCUCAAAUAUUUUGAGCCAGGUACUGUCCUAGAUUGUCUUGUGAUAUUUACAAUCUAGGAGAAGGCAGGAGAGAGAACUAAGAACAGAGAGCAUGUUCUGAGAUGUCUGCUGUGUUUGCAGGUACCUUCCCUCAAUUUCCCUACUCACUGGCCAUGCUGGAAAGCAGGUCUUGGCGCCAUAUUUGUACCAUGGUACUUCCCCUCCCUAUACUCAAUUGGUUGGCCAGAAGCCAAAUUGUCAUUCUCUCUCUCUCUCUCUCCCUCUCCCUCCCUCCCUCCCUCCCUCCCUCUCCAAGAUAUCAAGUAACUGACUGAUCAGCUUGCGGUGGGCUCUGCUGGCUGCCAUGAUGGGCCACCAGCAAAAAGGGAAAAUUGGUUGUGAGUGAGAAGAAGAGAUAAGAAAGUCCACAGGGCUCAUAAGAAAGACCAUGGGCUUCCGGGCACGGUGGUUCAAGCCUGUAAUCCCAGCACUUUGGGAGGCCAGGAUGGUCGGAUCACGAGGUCAGGAGAUCGAGACCAUCCUGGCUCACAAGGUGAAACCUCAUCUCUACUAAAAAUACAAAAAUUAGCUGAGUGUGGUGGCGGGUGCCUGUAGCCCCAGCUAAUUGGGAGGCUGAGGCGGGAGAAUGGCGUGAACCCCAGGAGGUGGAGCUUGCAGUGAACUGAGAUCACACCACUGCACUCCAGCCUGGGUGACAGAGGGAGACUACGUCUCAAAAAAAAAAAAAAAAAAAAAAAAAAAAAAAAAAAAAAAAAGAGACCAUGGGCUUCUGAGAGCAAGAAAGAGGAAUUUUGGUUUCUGUAACUGCAGUUUCCAUUCUCUCAUGGCCGCUCAUUUGUUUCUUGUGCCCAUGAGUUUGCCUGUUAGAGAUAAGGUGGGCUCCUUGUCCUCAAGCUCAUGCAAAUGGGUUUCUGUUUCUUACAAUCAUUGUUCCCAGAUAUGGAUGGUGACUGAUGCUCUACUAAAUGCUGAAAAAAUGCAGAGUGGAAGCACAGAAAAGCGGGCUUCUCUGAGGAGGUGACGUUAGAGCCCAGUUGGAAGGCAGGAGUAAAUGUGCACCAUGAUUUUUUAGGGUUAAAACCAAGUACCUCACUGCUUGGGCACAUGUAGAUAGAGGUGAUUUAACAGUAAAGUGUCCCAGUUGUACCCAUUGUCAGUUACCUCACCACAGGGUUUAUGUAGCCCUGAGUUUGCUUAGUGCUUAUUUAUUUUAGGUUGUUGUUUAUCCAAACCUCUUAAAUGAUAUGUGUUUGGAACAAGUAACAGCAUCAUUCAUUGAUGUUGUGGACAAACCACUAUUUUAUUACUCAAGACUGAGUAAUUUAUAAAGAAAAAGAUGUUUAAUGGGCUCACAGUUCCAUGUGGCUGAAGAAGUCUCGAAAUCAUGGUGGAAGGCAAAAGGAAUGUCUUACAUGGUGGCAGACAAGAGUGAUGAGAGCUCUUUUGGUCAUUGUUCGCUGGCCAUAGAAUUUACUUCUAUAUUUUGAACUAAGAUGAGAGCCAGGCACACAAGACGGUUACAGGUCUGUCUUUUGUUUUUGAUGAUGAUGAUGAUGAUGAUGAUGAUGAUGAUGAAAUGGUUGACAUGGGUGAUGACUUGCUUUUUCUUAUCAUCUCAGACCUAGAUUUUUGGCUGGACUAUUGGCUUGGGAUAGAUGAAAAUCAUUCCUUGUAUCCCCUGAUCUUAAAGUCAAGACUGAACCAGCCUCCAGACUCAAGCCUUCAUGGGACUUCAGAUACCAUGAGGAAUGGGUGUCCCUGCAAUAUUGUCAUGGCUGUCAAAAGUGUUAUUGGAGCUGGGCAAGUGGGCGCUCUCCUGUCAUUCCAUCCUGCCUAGAUUUCCCAUUCAACACCAAUCUUAUUUCCUUUUUUUUUUUUUUUUUUUUUUUUGACAGAGUCUCGCUCUGUCUUCUAGGCUGGAGUGCAGUGGUGGGAUCUCGGCUCACUACAGUCUCCACCUCCCAGGUUUAAGUGAUUCUUGUGCCUCAGCCUCCCACGUAGCUGGGAUUGCAGGUGCACACCAUCAAGCCUGGCUCAUUUUUUUUGUUUGUACUUUUAGUAGAGACAGGGUCUCGCCAUGUUGGCCAGGGGGGUCUUGAACUCCUGACCUCAAUUGAUCCACCUACCUCGGCCUCCCAAAGUGCUGGGAUUACAGGUGUGAUUCACCGUACCUGGCCCCAUUUCCUCUUACACCAUAAGUCAUUGCCUGCAGAUGUGUUUUCUCCAUUAGUUUGCAAAAGCUUCCUGAGAGUAGGUCUGUGCCUCAUUUAUUCUGGAAUCUUCCUGGCACAAAGCACAGGGCUUUAUCUCCAGUAGGCAUCCAACAAAUGUUUAAUUUCAUUCAACAGCUCCUCUUACCACUGCCUCCACCUUAUUUGCAGGUGGUUAAGUACAAUCGGAGCAAGUAGGUAUCAUAAUAUUUAGUCCAGAGUCAAUUUGAGAAGAAAUUACUUUAGUGAUAUGAAAAUAAGCCAUGCUAUUUAGUCAGAAUACUUCUGAGAUUAUCCCCUGUCCAAGCAUUUGCUGAAUUUCUAUGUACAAAUUUUCAGGUGGAACAGUAUGGUUGUAGAGAGUGCAUUUGGACAUAGAUACACUUUCAUGCAUUCAUGUCUUUAACAAUAAUUUGUGGCCCUACUGUGUUUGUUCACUAACUCCUUUGAACCUACCACAUAAGCUAUAUCUGUAUUUUCCUUGUAAUUUGGGAGGUCCAAUGCUUCAUUAAGCUCACAUGCCUGAAACUAAUGAAGAAAAUAGCUCGUUAACCAGCUAGUAUAAAAGUAGCCACCAAAUCAAGUCAAUCACCUGCCUUAAAUCAGCCCAGUACUCCCAUCUUGAGCGGAGAAGCCCAUUCUGAAUCACAGUCAAGACAUUGAUGGAAAAACAGCUCCCUCUGGGGAUCAAAACCACGCUCACUCCAAAUCCUCCUCCCCAGAUUUCUACUCAUUGCUCAUCCACUGAACCCAGAACAAACCAGAAGUGCUUGAAAUGAGGACGGGUAGCUCCGUGUACCAAUCAGAAUUUAAAACUCUGUCAAUUCCUGCUAUAGAAAUGAGGCUUCUCCCCAGGACCAGCAUUCCACGAAGGCAGCCCUUUUCUAGAUGGAGAAAACAGAACCUGAAGACACCCGUUUCCCUAAACUGCUCUUGCUCAUGUGUAAGUACAAAUGAAAAAUGCUGAGGCUGCUUCUGUUGGCAUUGCUUUUUAAUUACGGCCAUCAAUAAAUCAUUUUAUCCUUGAACAAGACUUGAGAAUGACCCGAAGGCAGAGGCACAAUUCCUUAGGAAUUAGGCCAACAGAGAAUGGGCUCUCUCUCUUCCCACCCCUUCUCUUACUCUGCUGUCAGAAACAGAAACGUUCUCUGUGAGUAGCUGGGAGUAGACGGCCACACUUGAGUUCCAUCUGGGGGUUCUGUUAACACAGUUUUACCCCAGCCUGCCUUGAUGGCCACUGCCACACAAGCUGCAUCUGUUCUUUCUUCUGCGCCUUUUGUUACUUCGUUGUUUUUCCUCUUUCUAGUGGAGUGAGCUGAAUGGUGGCUUUGCACAAGAUAUAUCCAGAUCCUUGUGCCUAGAAUCUGUGGAGGUGGCAUUAUUUGGAAAAAGGGUCUUUGCAGAUGUAAUUAAGUUAAGGAUCUUGAGAUUCUCCUGGAAUAAUUUAGGUAGGCUGUACAUCUAAAGACAAGUGUCCUUAUAAGAGGACACUUUUGUCCGGGCGCAGUGGCUCAUGCCUGUAAUCCCAGCACUUUGGGAGGCCGAGGCGGGUGGAUCACCUCAGGUCAGGAGUUUGAGACCAGACUGACCAACAUGGAGAAACCCCAUCUCUACUAAAAAUACAAAAUUAGCCGGGCAUGGUGGCGCAUGCCUGCAUUCCCAGCUACUGGGGAGGCUGAGGCAAGAGAGUUACUUGAACCCAGGAGGAGGAGGUGGCAGUGAGCUGAGAUCAUGACAUUGCACUCCAGCCUGGGCAACAAGAGUGAAACUCCAUCUCAAAAAAAAAAAAAAAAAAAGGACACACUUUUUCAUGCGCGUCCGUGUGAAGAGACCACCAAACAGGCUUUUUGUGAGCAAUAAAGCUGUUUAUUUCACCUGGGUGCAGGUGGGCUGAGUCCAAAAAGAGAAUCAGCGAAGGGAGAUGGGGGGGCCAUUUUAUAGGAUUUGGGUAGGUAAAGGAAAAAGGGGGGUUCUCUGGCAGGUAAGAGUGGGGGUCACAAGGUGCUCAGUAGGGGAGCUUUUGAGCCAGGAUGAGCAAGGAGAGGAAUUUCACAAGAUAAUGUCAUCAGUUAAGGCAGGAACAGGACAUUUUCAUUUAUUUUGUGGUGGAAUGUCAUCAAUUAAGGCAGGAACAGGCCAUCUGGAUGUGUACAUGGAGGUCACGGGGGAUAUGACGGCUUAGCUUGGGCUCAGAGGCCUGACGUUCCUGUCUUCUUAUAUUAAUAAGAAAAAUAAAAUGAAAUAGUGGUAAAGUAUUGGGAUGGUGAAAAUUUUUGGGGGGUGGUAUGGAGAGACAAUGGGCGAUGUUUCUCAGGGCUGCUUCGAGCGGGAUUGGGGUGGCAUGGGAACCUAGAGUAGGAGAGAUUAAGCUGAAAGAAGAUUUUGUGGUAAAGGGUGAUAUUGUGGGGUUGUUAGAAGAAACAUUUGUCAUUUAGAAUUAUGGGUGAUGGCCUGGAUACAGUUUUGUAUGAAUUGAAAAACUAAACGGAAUAAGAGAAGGAGAAAAACAGGUAUUAAAGGACUAAGAAUUGGGAGGACCUAGGACAUCUAAUUAGAGAGUGCCUAAGGAGGUUCAGCAUAGCCUUGCCAGCAAAGAUUAUUUAAGAGUUAAGGUGGUGGUUUGGGGAUAACACCAGGAGAUGUCAGCUGUGAUAGCUUGGAGAAACAGUGUAAACCACCAGUGUAAACAAGAGCAGGGCAUAUAUGAGUAGUUGAGAAUGGUGAAUCUCUUCUAGACAGAAGAUAGUAGGGAUGACAAGUUUUUUGGGGCACAGUCCAAGUUGGUCUUGUGUCUGGAAUGAGACUGGGGCCUAAUAAAAAGGAGGGUCUACACAGGAGAUCCAGUGGGUAUCGGGGGACCUGCCCCAAUAAUCACGUAGGUUCUUUUCUAUUUUCCUAAGUGUCGACUGGCUUGAGAAAUAAAAGGACAGAGUACAAAAGAGAAAUUUUAAAGCUGGACGUCCGGGGGAGACAUCACACAUGGGUAGGAUCCGUGAUGCCCCGCAAGCCACAAAAAGCAGCAAGUUCUUAUUAGGGAGUUUCAAAAGGGGAGGGAGUAUACGAAUAGGUGUGGGUGACAGACAUCAAGUACUUAACAAGGUAAUAGAAUAUCACAAGGCGAGUGGAGACAGGGCGAGAUCACAGGACCACAGGACCGAAGUGAAAUUAAAAUUGCUAAUGAAGUUUUGGCACUAUUGUCAUUGAUAACAUCUUAUAAGGAGACAGGGUUUUGAGAUCAACCGGUCUGACCAAAGUUUAUUAGGCGGGAAUUUCCUUUUCCUAAUAAGCCUGGGAGCGCUAUGGGAGACUGGCGUUUAUUUCACCUUUGCAAUCUCGACCAUAAGAGACAGGUACGCCCCGGGGGAGCCAGUUCAGAGACCUACCCCUAGGUGCGCAUUCUCUUUCUCAGGGACGUUCCAUGCUGAGAAAAGGAAUUCAGUGAUAUUUCUCCCAUUUGCUUUUGAAAGAAGAGAAAUAUGGUUCUGUUCUGCCCGGCUCACUGGCGGUCGGAGUUUAAGGCUAUCUCUCUUAUUCCCUGAACAAUUGCUGUUAUCUUGUUCUUUUUUCAGGAUGCCCACAUUUCAUAUUGCUCAAACACACAUGCUGUACAAUUUGUGUAGUUAACGCAAUUAUUACAGGGUCCUGAGACGAUAUACAUCCUUCUCAGCUGACAGGAUUAAGAGAUUAAAGCAGAGACAGGCAUAGGAAAUCACAAGGAUAUUGAUUGGGGAAGUGAUAAGUGUCCAUGAAAUCUUUACAAUUUAUGUUUAGAGAUGGCAGUAAAGGCAGGCAUAAGAAAUUACAAAAGUAUUAAUUUGGGGAACUAAUAAAUGUCCAUAAAAUCUUCACAAUCCACGUUCUUCUGCCAUGGCUUCAGCCGGUCCCUCCGUUUGGGGUCCCUGACUUCCCACAACAAAUGGGCUGUACCUUGUAGCAUUCCGAGGACAGGCCUGAAUUCUGAGAAGGGAAAGUGGUAAAAGUAUUGUCCAGUCCUUUUUAAGUUGGUGGCUGAGCUUGGUAAGGUGUGUUUUUAAAAGACCAUUAGUCUGUUCUACCUUUCCUGAAGACUGAGGACUGUAAGGGAUAUAAACCUUUCACUGAAUACUAAGAGCCUGAAAAAAUGCUUGGCUGACUUGAUUAAUAAAGGCCAGUCUGGUAUCAGACUGUAUAGAGGUGGGAAGGCCAAACUGAGGAAUUAUGUGUGACAGAAGGGAAGAAAUGACCGUGGUGGCCUUCUUAGACCCUGUGGGAAAGGCCUCUAUCUAUCCAGUGAAAGUGUCUACGUAGACCAAGAGUUAUUUUAGUUUCCUGACCCGGGGCAUGUUGAGUAAAGCUAAUUUGACAGUCCUGGGUGGAGGUAAAUCCCUGAGCUUGAUGUGUAGGGAAGGGAGGGGGCCUGAAGAAUCCCUGAGGAGUAGUAGAAGAGCGGAUGGGACACUGAGAAGUUAUUUCCUUGAGGAUAGAUUUCCACGAUGGAAAGGAAAUGAGAGGUUCUAAGAGGAGGGCUAGUGGCUUGUACUGUAGCAUAGCCUGCUUUUGCUGGUGUGUGGCAAUUAGGCCUGGUGGAACUGCCAUCAAUAAACUAAGUGUGGUCAGGGUGAGAAACAGGGAAGAAGGAAAUGUGGGGAAAUGGGGUGAACGUCAGGUGGAUCAGAGAGAUGCAGUCAUAAGGGUGAGGUGUGGUAUCAGGAAUAAUGGGGGAGGCCGGAUUGAAGUCCGGGCCAGGAACAAUGGUAAUUGUGGGAGACUCAACAAAGAGUACAGCAGAAGGAGCUGGGGAGCAGAAUGUAUAUGUGGCAGGUGUGAGGAAGAAAAUACAUUUUGGAAAUUAUGAGAACUGUAGAGAGUGAGUUGAGCAUAGUUUGUGAUUUUAAGGGCCUUUAAAAGUAUUAGGGUGGCAGCAGCUGCUGCACAGAGACAUAACAGCCAACCUAAAACAAUAAGGUCAAGUUGUUUGGACAAAAAGGCUACAGGACGCGAUCCUGGUCCUUGUGUAAGAAUUUCAACUGCACAGCGCUGCACUUCGGCUGUGUGUAAUGAAAAGGGUUGGGAUGAGUCACGGAGAGCUCGUGUAGCAGGAAGAGUUGCAGACAAAACUCCUCAGAAACUGGAUUAAAGAAGGAAGAGGUUUUUUUGUUCGGCCGGGAGCGUCGGCAGACUCGUGUCUUAAGAGCCGAGAUCCCUGAAAAAGAAAUUUCUAGCCCUUUUAAGAGCUGACAAAUCUAAGCGGUCUACGUGAAAAAGUCACAGUAGAUCAAGUAAGCGUGAGGAACGUGACUGGGGGCUACAUACAUCAGCUAACAGAACAAAAAGUUUUGACAGUGCUUUCUCAUACAAUGUCUGGGAUUUACAGAUAACACCAGUAGUUUUGGUCAGGGGUUAAUAUUAUUGUUAUUUUAACCACCAGGGCCAGGUGGUGGCGCCAAGGUCGUCUAGCUAUUUAUCUUACUUCUGUUUUUCCAACUUUUUGCUUUCUCCUUUUUGCUGUCUUAUAAACUAGGGAAAAGGUGAGGUUGGGGAGAAACUGGGAAGGACAACAGGAGAAGUGGUGGUCUCAUACCAUAUUUCCCCCCUUUGAGCAUUUUCACUUUUUAGUGGGAGUUCUCACUCUCAUCUUUCCUUUUUGAGUCUAUUUGUGAGAUAGAGCGAUAGUGAUUUAUAUAACACACGUGUGCUGAAGUUUUCUGAUGAACCAAAGUAGCUACAAAACCUUUUAUCAUUUGAAAAAGCAAGGGUAAUACACAGGGGAGCAGCAAGCAAGUUCCUAUCACUAGCAAUACACCUACAAUGAGGGUUUUCAAUCCUCCUAUAGCUGGAAACCAUUUUUCAAAUAAAGACUCAGGAUUAAACUUGUGUCAAACCUGUACGGGCACAUGUGCCACCUUUGUCAUGUCCCUGACUAUGUUUUUAACCACCUGUCCUUGAUCAUUUAUUUGUAGGCAGCAAUUGGUUAAGUUAAAUUUUCCACAAACUCCUCCUUCAGCUACUAGCAAGUAGUCUAAAGCCAGUCUAUUCUGAUAGAUAGCAUUCCUCAUUUGGGUUUCUUGCCAAGCUAAAACAGUCAAAGCUCUGCCAGUUUCAUUAGUAAUUAUUUCUAAGAUGGCCUGCAACAGUAUGAUCCAAUUGAGCAUGUAGAUGGGGGUUCGGUAUCCCCAUGAGCCGUCUUGUGCCCAUGUGGCAGGCCCAUAAUACUGAAUGAUCCUUUCAGGGGGCCACUCAUUAUCUUUCCAGUUUCCUAUAACUAUGCCUUUCUUUUCUCGGGAGGCGUAGACAGGGAAACGUAGGAGCUCACCCAUUUUUAUGGGUAAUAAGAAAAAAGAUGGCUUAAUAGUGCCAAUAACACAACUGCCUGCCCAUUUAUAAGGUAACCGAAUGUAGGCUUUGUGCCUACAUAUCUAGUAUAGUCCAGCGGGAACCGGCCAGUCCUGAUGAGAUUCUGGAUGAGCCUAAGCAGUUUUUAAUUUAGAAAAUUUACUAAAUGGAUUCUUUUCAGUGUGGUUUAGGCCCUACUAAGUAAUUGUCUUUGUUGUGCUGUUAUACAACUUCUGUGCUAUACAAUUAAGCUUUCCUACAGGGAUGAUAAAGUCUUUCCCUUCUCUAGCUAUACAGUAUUGUCUAAUAAUUGAGGUUUUUAGGACCUAGAAGUUGCUAGCUUCGGCCUUCUAACUGGAAUUAUAUCAGGAGCUGGAUCAGUAGGCACCAACUCUCGGGGUUCCCAAGGCCAUCUGUCUCCGAUAGUGGUUCCUCCGCAUACAUAACAAGAAGUAACAUUAAGUAAGAAAAUUACAUUUUCUGCUAAUUGGAGAAAUAAAUCUUUUGUCUUUUUCAGAAAUUCUGGUGCUGGCAGAUUCAGCUCCUCAUAAAAGGUUUGAAAUACUGGUUUGGGAGAGCACUUGUGGACCUCCCCUCUAAUUAAAAUGGCAACUUGAGGGUUUAACCCUGUCCUAUUGAUCCCCAGGGUUACACGUUCUCCCUUUUUCCAACGGGGACCUAGGGGAUUGGUAAUUAUUAGUUCUAGUGGGUUACAGUGACCGGCAGCACAGGAGGGGUUGGCUUCCCCCUUCUGAAGAUAAACCGGGUCCUUUUUGUUCUUUUUUUAGUAACUUAAAUAACACAUGUCCAAUAGGCACAAUUUUUACAAACUCCUGACUCAUGACAAACAUAUUUAUUUUCUAUUCUUUAGCUCCUUUCUCAGUUAAGAGAACCACAUCCUAUUUCUAGCUUUUUACUAUUAAUGGCUGCACACGCAUCAAAUCUUAAAGUUGUUUGCUUGGGGAUUUCUUUUUCUUCUGUUCUAGUUAUUAUUUUACUUGUAUCACCUAGGAAAAGGCCAGUUCUUCUUCUUAUUUCAAAAACGGUGGUUGCAGGGGGCUCAGAUGGGUUAUAACACACAUCAGGUCGGUCAUUUCUCGGGCUACAUACCUUGUACUGAGUGGCAUUAUACAAACAAGUUUCUUUUAUUGUUUCUAUACAUUCAUAAUAACUACAGAACAGAAAGAUUGUUUUAAUUUGCUGUCCUACUUCGGUGACCUGUUGAAUACACUGGGAACAGUCCCCAGUUUGAGUAAGGUCAGUUGAAGCCCUUACUGUAUAAGUCCAAAAUUUAAGAAAAAUGAAUCUCAUGAUGAGCUUCCUCAUGCUUCGGCCGUGCGUGGACCAGUCAGCUUCCGGGUGUGACUGGAGCAGGGCUUGUCAUCUUCUUCAGGGUCACUCUGCAAGGGUUGUCUGGGCUUGGUCUUGCCUCCCAGGUUUCAGGCACUGCAGGUUUACAUGGCGGUGGUGGAUCCAGGCUGGGAUUCCUUCUACCUUCACAGCGGUGGGAGUGCUCAGGACGACAGUCUGGGGUCCUUUACACUGUGGACGCAAAGAGGCUCCGUUCCAGUUCUUGAUCCACACUCGAUCAUCUGGGGAGAAAGGGUGAACUGGGGAGAAUAAGCUAACAGGGCAUCUGUCAUUUACCCAGGCUGAGAUUGUUUGUGUAAUUUUUCCUAAGGCCUGUAGCUGUCGCUGUAACUCAAUUUCACCUAACUCUCAGGGAGUGCCUGGAAGUGCCCGCAGUAUAGGAGGGGGCCUAUGAUAUAAAAUUUCAUAAGGGGAAUAUCCUGUUCUUUUAGAAGUGGUACAUCUAAUUUUAAAUAAUACCAUAGGGAGAGCCUGUAUCCAUUUUAAUCCUGUUUCCUGACAUACUUUCCCUAAACUAUUUUUGAUAGUUUGAUUCAUUCGCUCCACCUUUCUGGAACUCUGAGGCCAGUAGGCAGCAUGCAGUUUCCAUGUGAUCCCUAAUAUCUUUGCCGCCUUCUAUACUAAGUCAUCCAAAAAUGCCGGCCUGUUAUCUGAGCCGAUCCGUAAGGGCAGUUCAAAUCUAGGAAUAAGAUCUCGAAGAAGCACACGAGUUACUUCACGAGCUUUCUCAGUUCGUGUUGGAUAAGCCUCCACCUACCCAGAGUAGGUACGCCCAAGAACUAGUAAAUACUUGUUACCUCUACACUUUGACAUCUCUGUGAAUUCCACCUGGAGAUCUUCAAAGGGGGCUGCUUCAUAAGCUUGUAUGCCGGGUGGAACGGCUGGACCUUGCCUCUCAUUAUGCUGUCGGCAGGUAACACACCACUGCGUCACCGUUUUGGCAAGAGCUGACAAAUGCGAGAUGUAGAAAUACCAGCCUAACAACUUUUCAAGUGAUUCCUGACCUAGAUGGGUGGUUUCAUGCACAGCCAGUACAACUGCAGCUCCUAGCAGCUGUGGCACAGCUUCUCUCCCAUCCGGUAACCGAAUUCAUCCUUCCUCCAUCACUUGUCCUCUCUCUGCCUGGAGAAAGUCCUUUUCUUCUUUAGAAUAAGUAGGUACAAGUUCAGGUGCUUGAGGGAGCAGGGGGGCUGUGACUGAUGCCCGGAAGGGGGCAGAUGCUGCUUUUCGAGCCUCUAAGUCAGCGCGGGAAUUCCCUAAACCCACCAAGGUGGAAGCUCGCUGAUGUCCUCUGCAAUGCAUAACUGCCACCUUGUGGGGUCUCCAUACGGCUUUUAAUAAUCGCAAGAUUUCUUGUUGAUAUUUUAUGUCUUUUCCCCCAGAGUUCAAUAGGCCCUUUUCUUUAUAUAAUGCUCUACGCACUUGAAGGAUUGAAAAGGCAUAUUGAGAGUCAGUGUAAAUGUUGACAUUCUCAGCUUCACUGAGUUCUAAGGCCCGAAUUAAAGCAAUGAGUUCAGCUUUCUGAGCUGGAGUGUCCUGGGGAAACGAUCUGGCUUCAGCAACAGUGUCCAGAGUUACCACCGCAUAUCUUGCACAUCUCUCUCCUUGUGGGUUGAUGAAGCUGCUCCCAGCCCCGUAUAGUUCCUAGUCUACUGAUGCCUAAGGCUGGUCCUGGAGGUUAGGUCUGCUAGAGUAAACUGAGUCCAACACUUCUACACAGUCAUGCUCAACAGGGCUCUCUGAUACUGGGAGCAAGAUAGCGGGGUUCAGGGUGUUACAAACUUCAAUGGUUAUACGGGGAUUUUCACAGAGCAAACUUUAGUACUUAGUGAGUCUAGCAUUCAUUAGCCAAUGAUGUCCUUUAGUAUUCAUUAAAGUCACCACAGCAUGGGGGGGUCUUUAUGUUCAGGUUUUGUUCAAGAGUCAGCUUAUCUGCUUCUUGUACUAGCAGGGCAGUUGCUGCCAAGGCCCUUAAACAUGGGGGCCAUCCUUUAGAAACCCCGUCUAGUUGUUUAGAGAGGUAGGCCACCAGCCUCGGCCAGGGACCCACAGUUUGGAUUAAAACACCAACUGCCAUCUUUUCUCUCUCUGACACAUACGAUGGAAAAGGCUUUUUUAGAUCGUGUAGCCCCAGGGCUGGGGCUGAUAUAAAUCUUUCCUUUAUCUCAUGAAAGGCUUGCUGUUGCUGGGAUCCCCAUUCAAAAAUCCCCGGUCCCCACCUCUUUGUGACCUCAUAGAAAGGCUUGGCUAAUACUGCAAAAUUUGGGAUCUACAGUCUGCAAAACCCCACAGCCCAUAAGAAUUCUCUCACCUGCCUUCUGGUCUUAGGCUCCGGUAGAUUUCAAAUGACCUGCUUUCUUUCUGAUCCUAGGCUGCUCUCCCCCUUUCGGAUAGUAAAUCCUAAGUAAUGUACCUGCUGUCGGCAGAUCUAAGCUUUUUUCUUGGACAUCUUAUACCCACAGUCCUCCAGGUGCUGGAGUAGACCAUCUGUUCCUUUGGUGCACCUGACUGCCAUGGGGUGUCCCAGCAAAAGGUCAUCAACGUACUGGAGCAACACGCAGCCUAGGUCUCUGGUGGGAAACUUCUAGAGGUCUCGAGGCAAUUCCUCCCCGAAGAUGGUGGGGGAGUUCUUGAACCCUUGGGGAAGCCCAGUCCAAAUGUACUGAGUAGUGACACCUGACUCCGGAUCUUCCCACUGAAAGGCAAACAGCUUCUUCCUCUCAGGGGCUAAUCUGAUGCUAAAGAAAGCAUCUUUCAGGUCCAAGCAGGUGAAGCAGCUGUCCUCAGCUGGCAGCAACCCCAGCGAUGUGUACGGGUUAGGUACUGCUGGAUGUAAAGUCACUGUAGCCUGAUUAACCAAGCGCAAAUCCUGUACCGGCCAGUAGUCCUUGGUCUUGGGCUUGGGAACAGGCAGGAGGGGAGUGUUCCAUGGAGACUGACAAGGAACUCUAAUUCCAAAAGUUCUUAGGUACUUGAGAUGGACCUGGAUACCUUCAAGAGCUUCUCUGGGGACCGGCUCCUGUUUUUGCCUAACCGGCUGGGCCCUAGGCUUAACUUCUAUAAGUACGGGGGCUUGGUUGACUGCAAACCCUGGAGGGUUGUCUUCCGCCCACACUCUUGGCCACCGCUUAGCCAGAGCUGGUCUUAUCUCUUGGCCCCACUCAGUUAAGAAAAGUCUCCAUUCUUCCUGUCGGGGGACCGUAAGGGUAAUAAUGACUCCCAUUCUGGGUAACUUUAGCAGCAAAGAGCCAUGCUCUGUAAAAGAGAUAGUGGCUCUCAGUUUGCUAAGCAAGUCCCUUCCCAAAAAGCGCAAGGGACAGUCACGUGUGUACGAAAACUGAUGAAUCACUUUAUGUCCUCCUACAGCACAAGUCCGAGGCAAGCAGAAAGCUUGCUUUGCUGAAACUCCCUUGGCUCCGAUGAUGCCAAUAAUCUUUUUGGAUAAGGGGUCGGCCGGGGUGGUUACUACCGAAUGUUUAGCACCGGUAUCUACAAGAAAAUCAAUGUCUUUACCCCUAACUGUCAUCCUGACCAUAGGCUCUUUGGGGGUCCUUGAGCCCAGUCCCCCUCAGUCCAAUAACCCUUCUGCCAGGUUGAGCAGGGCCCCUUCGUCCUUGUCCGGGGCCUCCUGCUCUGAGUCACCUGGUUUUCUUUUUAGCUGAGGGCAUUUGUUUUUCCAAUGUCCUAUUUCUUUACAAUAAGCACACUGAUUACGCUGCAAGCUCUGACAGCCAGGCUGAGUUUCCUUCCCGGGUCCCCCCUUCCCUUGCCUCUUUGGGGGGACCCCUCUGAUUGCUGCCGCUAACAGGUCGGUGUUUCGCUGGGCCUGACGUUCAUUGUCUCUGUGGUUUUCCUUACGGCUUACUGCAUCCCUGUUUACAAACGCCUGGUUAGCUAUUUCUAAUAACUGUGAUGUGUUCAUCCCUGCAAACUCAGCCUGUUUCUGCAGUUUUCUUCUAAUGUCUUCUGCGCUUUGACUAACUAAAGCCAUGUUAAUCAUGCCUUGAUUUUCAGGGCUAUCAGGAUCAAAAGGAGUAUACAUACCAUAGGCCUCACACAGUCUCUCCUACAAUUGUGCUGGACUUUCUUCUUUUCUCUGAAUGACGUCAGAGACUUUGUUAACAUUUGUGGCCUUCUGGGCUCCCUUCUUUAAUCCUUCCAAGAGAGCUUCCCUGUCUCGGUUUAGCCUUUGCAUAUCCUCUCUUUCAUGUGGGUCCCACUGGGGGUCAGUUCCUGGUAACUGGGUCCUUCCAUACUCUUGGGGGUUUUGGUAAUCAGCUGGUGCAUGUUCCUCUAGCCACUUAGUUGCUGCUUGGAGCCCUCUCCGCCUUUCAUCUGUGUUAAAGAGGAACAUGAGCAACUGGUGGCAAUCAGCCCAGGUGGGGUUAUGGGUCUGGAUAAUAGUUUGGAGCAAAUCAAUCAGAGCUUGUGGCUUUUCGGUACAGGACGGGGUAUUGUUUUUCCAGUUGAGAAGGUGGGCAGAGGUGAAGGGCUGGUACCCAAAAACACGCCUCCCAACCACGUGACCAUCCUCAUCUAUCCCAGUAUACCGCUGCUCUCUCAGGGGCAUUUGUGUCCCCAUUUUGGGUCUUAAACGAGCUGCCAAGGGAGGGGUUUCUCCCGAGUCCUCACCUCCUACCUUGUGUACUCUGGGUGGCCUAGGGAUAUGUUUGUCUUGUGGAGGCGCAAGCACUGUGGACUCAAAAGUGGGGAGCCUGCCUCCCUGGUAAGGAGAGGGCAGCACUGGGAUCACUGGUGCCAUCUCCUGCAAUGGAUCUUCUGAUGUUGGGUCGAACAGAACUUCAGGAGUUGAUUUCCCUCGGCGGAUGGAGCGGGAUCCUUCCUUGGCUGUCUGUCACUUUGCUACUAGCACUGCUGCUGCCUGUCCUCUUAGCCACUGUGGGGGGUUUAGCAUCAGCUGUAACCAAGUGUCUAUGUAUGGAAACUGGUCUGAGUGUCCUGACUUACCAGUUACCUUGUGCCAUACCUUAGAAACAAGGGACCUGUCCAGGCUUCCUUCUGAUGGCCACCCUACUUCUAAUGGUGGCCAAUCUAUUUCACACAAAGUUCUAAGUUCCCCAAAGUCUCCAUUAAGUCCUUUCUUAAAGUUUUUCAACAUAGUUCCUAGCGGAGUAGGCUUACUUUGUAUCUGACCCACGUUUCCUCGAGACAAAACACCAAGCUCACACCACACGCACACCACAGAACAAAGAAUGGGUCAAAGGGACACACACACACUUUUUCAGUUUUCUCCAAACCAGAAUCAAAACCAAAAUGAGAGUAUCCAGAAAUCCAAGCCAGGUCAAACCAAAACCAAAGUAUCAAGCAAUUCAAGUCAAGUCAAAAACAAAAUCCAAAGUGCCAGUACAGGCACGCCGUGGGUGAUCAGGCCACGCUUCCACUCAAAUGGAGUGGGCAAGUUCCAAAGACCAGUCUUACCAAGUUUCAAAUGUCCGGACUCCAAGUGCCUCUUCCUUCCCUGUGUUCAGCCAGUGUGUUGAUCCUCCAUGGGGGCCUACCACACACUGCUCUGACGAGGCAUUCCUCCGGGGCAAUUGCCUACCCGGGAGAGCUCUCAGGAUCCGCAUCGCUCAAGCUGGCCGGAGUCCCCCGCAGGGAUGCUCCACAGGGCAGGCCUAAGCCAUCUAACGGGCUGCCUCGACUUUCCGUCAAUUACCUCGCUUCCCAGUCAGGGAACCAAGACUAGGGUGGGGGCAGUCUUUAAAGCUGUCUUCAAGGAACAGAAAGAGGAGUGGGGAAAGGAUUUAGGAUCUAUGGGGUCAGCUAGGUUUCCUUUUGUGAGUUUAUAUAAUGGUUUUGUUAGGAUGGCAAAACCAGGUAUCUAAAGGUGAAAUUAUCCAACCAUGCCCAGGAAGGAAAGGAGUUGUUGUUUUGUAGAAGGGGUUGGGGUUUGAGAGAUUAGUCACACACGAUCAGCAGGGAGAGCACGUGUGGUUUUAUGAGAAUUAUGCUGAGAUAGGUAACACAUAAGGAAGAAAUUUGGGCUUGACUGAAGUAAUGGGGGCUGUCUGUGAAGCUUUGCGACAGUACAGCCCAGGUAACUUGCUGAGCCUGAUGGGUGUCAGGGUCAGUCCAAGUGAAAGCGAAGAGUGGCUGGGAUGAAGGGUGCAAAGGAAUAGUAAAGAAAGCAUGUUUGAGAUCCAGAACAGAAUAAGGGGUUGUGGAGGGAGGAAUUGAGGAUAGGAGAGUAUAUGUGUUUGGCACCUUGGGGGGAUAGGCAAAAGAAUUUGGUUCAUAAGUCAUAGAUCCUGAACUAACUUGUAAGGCUUGUCUGGUUUUAGGACAGGUAAGAUGGGGGAAUUGUAAGGAGAGUUUAUAGGCUUUAAAAGGCCAUGCUGUAGCAGGUGAGUGAUAACAGGCUUUAAUCCUUUCAAAGCAUGCUGUGGGAUGAGAUAUUGGCAUCGAGCGGGGUAAGGGUGAUUAGGUUUUAAUGAGAUGGUAAGGGGUGCAUGAUAGGUCACCAAGGAGGGAGUAGAGGUAUCUUCUACUUGUGGGUUAAGGUGGGUGGCAAUGAGAUGUAUCUGUAGUCUGGGAAUAGUCAGGGAAGCAGAUAGUUUAGUUGAAGUGUCUCGUCCUAAUAAGGGAACUGGGCAGGUAGGGAUAACUAAAAAGGAGUGCUUAAAAGAGUAUUGUCUAAGUUGGCACCAGAGUUGGGGAGUUUUAAGAGGUUUAGAAGCCUGGCUGUCAAUACCCACAACGGUUAUGGAGACAAGGGAAACAGGCCCUUGAAAAGAAGGUAAUGUGGAGUGGGCAGCCUCUGUAUUGAUUAAGAAGGGGAUGGACUUACGCUUCACUGUGAGAGUAACCUAGAGCUUCUGUGAUGGUCCUGUAGGCUUCUGAGGCUAUCGAUCAGGCAGUGUCAGUCUGCAGCUGCUAAGCCAAGAAGAUCUGGGAAGGAGUCAGUCAGAGAGCCUUGGGCUGGAGUUCCAGGGGUUCUGGGGGUGGCUGCCAGGUGAGUUGAACAGUCCGAUUUCUAGUGGGGUCCCGCACAGAUGGGACAUGGCUUAGGAGGAAUUCAGGACUGCAGGCAUUCCUUGGCCUGGUGGCCAGAUUUCUGGCACUUGUAGCAAGCUCCUGGGGGAGGCGGUUCUGGAGGAAUGCCUGGCCACUGCGCUUUAGGUGUUUGGAAGCUCUUGUGUGCUGGAGAUGUGGCUGGGGUUUGUCUCACAGUGGAGGCAAGGAAUUGCAACUGAGAAAUAUGUUGUUACUUGGCUGACUCUACUCUAUUAUUGUACACCUUGAAGGCGAGGUUAAUUAAGUCCUAUUGUGGGGUUUGAGGGCCGGAAUGUAAUUUUUGGAGUUUUAUUUAAUGUCGGGAGCAGAUUGGGUAAUAAAAUGUAUAUUAAGAAUAAGACGGUCUUUUGACCUUUUAGGGUCUAGUGCUCUAAAGCACCUCAGGGUUGCUGCCAAACGAGCCAUGAACUGGGGUGGAUUUUUAUAUUUGAUGAAAAAGAGCCUAAACCUUAUCUGAUUUGGGAUAAAGAACAAGGAGCAUUAACUUUGACUAUGCCUUUAGCUCCAGCCAACUUUUUAAGAGGAAAUUGCUGGGCAGGUUGGGGAGGGCUAGUCAUGGAAUGAAACUGUAAGCCGGACCCAGUGUGAGGAGGGGAGGUGAUAAAAGGAUUAUAGGGUGGAAGAGCAGAGGCUGAGGAAGAAUUCGGGCCUAGCUCAGCCUGGCGAGGAGGGGAGAGGUCAGAUGGGUCUGUAGAAAAGGAAGAUUAGAAAGAGUCAGCGAUGCUUGGGGUUGGGAUUGAGGGGACAGGUGGGAUGGAAAGAAGGAAGAUUUGGGAUGAGUUGCACUGGGAACAGACUAGGGAGGGACCGAUGUGUAAAAGAAUGCCUGGACGUCAGUCACCUCAGACCACUUGCCCAUUUUAUGACAAGAAUUAUCUAGAUCUUGUAGGAUGGAAAAAUUGAAAGUGCCAUUUUCUGGCUAUUUGGAACUACUGUCGAGUUUGUAUUGGGGUCAAGUGGCAUUGUGGAAGAAUAUAAGGCAUUUAGGUUUUAGGUCAGGUGUGAGUUGAAGAGGUUUUAGGUUUUUAAGAACACAGGCUAAGAGAGAAGAAAGGGGAAUGGAGGGCGGAAGCUUGCCCAUGGUGAAGGAGGCAAGCCUAGAGAAAAGAGAGAAUAGAGACACGAAGAGAAGGGGUGGGGCUUUCUUUCCUUCCAGAAAAGCGGGAAAGGGGUUGGGGCACAGAAAUAAAGGGUUGGGGUGCAGAGAUAGGAGGUCAGGUUGUGGAAAUAAGGGAUCAGGGCACAGAGAUAAGAGGGUGGGUUGUGGAAAUAAGGGAUCGGUGUGCAGAGAUAAGAGGUCAGGGCAUGGAAAUAAGGGAUCGGGGUGCAGAGAUAAGAGGUCGGGGUUCCUGCCCCUCCCCCAGAAAAGCGGGACUUGCUGCUAAGGGUGAAGGAGAAGGGGUUGAGGGGUUCUUGCCUCUCCCCCAGAAAAGCAGGACUUGCUGCUAAGGGUGAAGGACCAAGGCAGGCAUCCCUGCAUGGUCUGACACCUCUGAAACCUGGGUGAAUCAUCAGAGAGGCGUCCUUGCAAUGAUUAAACACCAAGGGAAGGCUGCCUUCCCUAGUCUGUGAGCAGUGCCGGAGUUUCGGGUGCAUGAAUGAAACGUGUCUCCUUUGUCUAUACCAGAAAAUGAAAGGAAUUGAAAUUAAAAGAAGGGAGAGAUUGAAGUGUGGUGCCAAGAUGGAAAGGAGAAAGAGGUUGAGGGGUAGUGAAGGAGGCUGGAGAAGAGAGUAAAAAGAAGCCACUUACCAGAUUUGAAAUUGGUGAGAUGUUUCUUGGGCUGGUCAGUCUGAGGACCUGAGGUCGUAGGUGGAUCUUUCUUACAGAGCAAAGAGCAGGAGGACAGGGGAUUGAUCUCCCAAGGGAGGUCCCCCGAUCUGAGUCACGGCACCAAAUUUCACAUGCAUCCGUGUGAAGAGACCACCAAACAGGCUUUGUGUGAGCAAUAAAGCUGUUUAUUUCACCUGGGUGCAGGUGGGCUGAGUCCAAAAAGAGAGUCAGUGAAGGGAGAUAGGGGUGGGGCCAUUUUAUAGGAUUUGGGUAGGUAAAGGAAAGAGGGAGGUUGUUCUCUGGCAGGCAGGAGUGGGGGUCACAAGGUGCUCAGUAGGGGAACUUUUGAGCAAGGAGAGCAAGGAAAUGAGCAAGGAGAAGGAAUUUCACAAGAUAAUGUCAUCAGUUAAGGCAGGAACCGGCCAUCUGGAUGUGUACAUGCAGGUCACAGGGGAUAUGAUGGCUUAGCUUGGGCUCAGAGGCCUGACACUCUUUCUGCAGAGGAGGAGACCCAGACAGAAGAGGAGGAGGCAAGGUGAUCACAGAGGCAGAGAUUGGAUCAUGCAGCCACAAGUUGAGGAAUUCUAGCAGCCUCUAUAAGCUGGAAGCACAAGGAAUGGAUUCUCCCCUAGAACCUCUAAAGGAGCAUGCUCCUGCUGACAUUUGAUUGACUUUGGACUUCUGGCCUCCAGACAAUUUUUUAUUUUUAUUUUUAUUUUUUAUUUUUUUAGACAGAGGCUUACUCUGUUGCCCAGUCUGGCGUGCAGUGGCACGAUCUCAGUUCACUGCAACCUCCACCCCCCAGGCUCAAGCCAUUCUCUUGCCUCAGCCUCCCAAGAAGCAGGGACUACAGGUGCCUGCCACCAUGCAUGGCUAAUUUUUGUAUUUUUAGUAGAGACGAGGUUUUGCCAUAUUGGCCAGGCUGGUCUCGAAUUCCUGGCCUCAAGUGAUCCACCAACCUCAGCCUCCCAAAGUGCUGAGAUUAUUUAGGUGUGAGUCAGGGCACCCGGCCCAGACAUUGUUUGAAGCCACCCAUUCCAUGGUUCUUUGCUGCAGUUGUUGUGGAAUAUGAAUGCACUCGUGCUGUUGGUUAGACUUUGCUGACCUUGUGUCUGUUAUUUCCUGGCAGUUCUACAAGGCCUGGAGCUGAUACAAAAAACCUCCCUUCUUUCCCAAAUGGUCCCCAGCUUCCCCGUUCACUGAAGGCCCUGCAGUCAGGAACAGUCAGGACUUUGCACCCAGUUGUUGUGGGUGUUUGGCCGACCCUUCCUUUUGUGUGAUUCAUGGACCCUCAGCAUUGCGUUACCUGGAAGCUUUUGGAAUUGAAGACUCCCAGGGCUCACCUGGAAGGACCUGCUGGGCCAGAAUCUGCAUUUUAACAAGAUGCCCAGGUGAUUUGCAUACACGUUCAGAUCUGAGAAGCGCUAGUAGGAGAGGCUUUAAGGUGGUAAUUAGAUCUUUUCUCCACCUGCAAGAAUCUUAGUUUCUUCAUGUUAAAUCUAUUAACUGUGGCAAUGGCAUGGGGGUUAUAAAACAAAACAAAAUCCUUACAUCAAGAAUGCACCCCGGUGUGUUAUGGACGUGGGUGAAAUGAAGUGUCUGGAAUUUGUUUUAAAAUAUCCUAAAAUAGCAAGAAGGAAAAGAAAAGUGGGAACUGGAAUGAGAUUGGAGAAAUGUUGACAAGUUCUUGCAGUGGGAUGAUGGGUGCAUGGGGGUACAUGGUGUAAUUCUCUCCCUGUCUUUUGUGCAUAUGGGAAAUUUCCAUAAUGAAAAGUUAGAGGUCGGACACGGUGGCUCAUGCCUGUAACCUCAGCAUUUUGGGAGGCUGAGAUGGGUAGAUUUCUUGAACCUAGGUGUUCAAGACCAUCCUGGACAACAUGGAGAAACCCCAUCUCUACUAAAAAUGCAAAAAUUAGCCGGGCGUGGUGGUACAUGUCUGUAAUCCCAGCUACUCGGGAAGCUGAGGCAGGAGAAUUGCUUGAACCCGGGAGGCGGAGGUUGCAGUGAGCCGAGAUCGCGCCACUGCAUUCCAACCAGGAUGAUGGAACGAGACUGCAUCUCCAAAAAAAAAAAAAAAAAAAAAAAAAAACCACAUGAAAUAUUUUGGACUCAUACUAAUUCACCACAUGAAAUAUUUUGGACCCUUAUACUAAUUCCAACAUUUUGAAGAUCUGGGGAGAACAAACUAGAUUGGUGCUUUCCUUGGCUUAGUAUGUCCUGUUUUUAUAGGGAGAGCAAAUUAUUGUUCACCAGCACUAUUAAAAUAGCUACAACAGGAUGGGCAUGGUGGCUCACACCUGUAAUCCCAGCACUUUGGGAAGCUGAGGUGGGAGGAUCGCUUGAGCCCAGGAGUUCAAGAUGCCAGCCUGGGCAACAUGGUGAGACCCUGCCACUACCAAAAAUACAAUAACAACAAAAAUAGCUAGGUGUGGUUGUGUGCACCUGUAGUCCCAGCUACUUGAGAGGCUGAGGUGGGAGGAUCACUUGUGCCCAGGAGGUUGAGGCUGCAGUAAGCCGUGAUUAUGCCACUGUACUCAGCCUGGGUGACAGAGUGAAACCCUGUAUGGAAAAAAAAAAAAAAAAAAAAAAAAAAAAGCUGCAGUGGACUCAGUGAUCAUGAGGCCAGGCACUGUAUACAUGUACAUCAUCUCAUUUAAUUUUUUCUCUUGUUUAAAAUUAUUUUUUCCUCUAAUCCCCAUGUUGAUCAACAUUUUUUUAAUCCUAGGAAUUUAUUAAAUGAAAAUUUCGCAUAAGAAUUAAAAAUUGCCUGGCCUGAUGGCUUAAACCUGUUAUCCCAGCACUUUGGGAGGCUGAGAUGAGAGAAUCACUUGAAGCCGGGAGUUUGGGCCAGUAUGGGCAAUAUAGUGAGAAUGCAACUCUGUAAAAAAAUUUAAAAAGCUGUGUGUGGUAGGGUUCACCUGUAGUCCCAGCUACUUGGAAGACUAGGUGGGAGGAUUGCUUGAGGCCAGGCGGUAAAGGCAGCAGUGAGCUAAGAUUGUGCCAUUGCAGUGCAGCCUGGGUGAUGGAGUGAGACUCUAUCUUUAAAAUAAAUGAAUAAAAUUGUGGUAUAAUAUAUGCAACGUUUACCAUUUUGUGCAUCUGAAAGUGUACAAUUCAGUGACAUUUUGUACAUUUAUCAUGUUGUGCAAUUAUCACCAAUACCUAGUUUCAGGGCUUUUUCAACACCUCAAUUGGAAGCCUCAUAUCCAUUCAGCAGUCACUCUGCAUGUCCCCUCCUGCAGCCCCUGGAAACCUCUCAUCUACUUUCUAUCUCUGUCAAUUGGCUUAGUCUGAACAUUGCAUAUAAAUGGAAUUGUACAAUAUAUGACCUUUCAUGUCCGCUUCUUUCACUGAGCAUGUUUUUAACGUUCAUCCAUAUCACAACAUGGAUACGUUUUAUUUUCUUUUUAGACCCUAUUUAAAAAGAAAAAAAAAUUGUAAAACAAAAACAAAAACAAAAAAUAUAUAGGAUGGAGAUCACAUGAGUCCUGCAAAGCUUAUAAUAUUUACUAUCUAGUACUUUACAUAGAAGCUUGCCUACCUCUGAAUGAUAUGCAGGUACAGAGAUGACAUUUAUCUUGGCACUUAGAGAAAGACCUAUAAAUUGUAUAAAGACACCAUCAUUGCAUUUCCAGUAACAGGAAGCGGCAAGACGUGACAGUGUGUCCAGGUGUUCAGGUGAAGUUUAGGGAAGGUCUUGUCUUGACGAGGUCGGAUGUGAGACCCAGAUGAGAUAACCCCAUUUCCCCUGCUGAAAUUGCCUGAGAAUUUCAUUCCAGUUAUUUGCAUAGGUUGAUUCUUUCCGUGGGGGUGGGGUGGGUGAGGAGGUGAAGUGUCAGGGGAGUUCUAUUUUGUAUUUGCAUAACUUGGCUUUCUUUUUACUUGGUGUGGUGUUUUGCUGUAUGAGGAAUUUCAUAGCAUUUUGUGAUGAGUAUGCAGCAUAGUGGUUUGAAUCCUGCCAGGCCGAGGGUCAUAUCUCAGCUCUGAAACUCAUUAUCUAUGACGCCUUGGGGCAGGUCCCAUAACUCCCCAAGCCUCUGUUCUAUAUUCCAUGGGGUUGUGAGGUUCAGCUGAAAUAAUGCAUGCUGGCAGGAAUGGUUACUGCUCAUGGGAUUUCAUUGUGCUCCCCGUAUUCCCCAGACCCCCAGUAGUUAGAUGGAUCCAUGCUAGGGUCCAAUGCUCUAUAAGUGGAAGUCACUGACAUCACCUCUAAUCUACAGCUUUUGAGGGCUUGGGAAUAACUAUCUUAUUCUCUCAUCUCCUGGUGCAGUAACUAUGGGAGAAUCCCUGCAUUAAGAUGGUAGAAUUUCCAUCAUUCUAGGUCUUUGAGUGGCCAUAUGGAGCACACCAUACCCAGCCAACCCAUUGUGGACAUGGAAUGUAAGAAAUCAACCUUGGUUGCUAAGCUGCUGAGACUCUGGGGUUAAUUUGUUACUGCAGCAUAACCUAGUCCAUCCUGAUGCAUGCAGCAUGCAAACCACUUAUGUUGACCCUUAGUCAUGGUAAGUGCUCCACAGAUGUUGGUUACUUUUGGUAGGAAGAUAGAUUGCCUCUGAAAGUUUUGUUAGCUGAUCUCAUGAUGCCAAUGUUGCUAUUUUGUAAUUGGAUAAAUUGGACUUGGCUCUCCUUCCAGCAUGUGGGAGAGAAAGAUGACUGAGAGACAAUAAAGCACUAUUAUCUUCAGUUUGUGUCCUUGGAUACCCUUGGUGGCAAUGAACAAUGUAUGCUCCUCUGAGAAAACUGGACCUAAAGGAGAAUGGGAGUUGAUACCAGAAUUGGGAACCUCCAAGGCCCCAGGCAUUCCCUGGUCUGGAGAAAACUUUGAGUCCUUGGUGGGAAGAUUCUCCAAGGGAACAUAAAUGCUUUUACUAUCUAGUUUGUCUCUUUGAGAAUUAAAACUUUUUUUUUUUCAUUCCAGUAGCUUUUGGGGUACAGUUUGUCUCUUUGAGAAUUGCAUACUAAUUAAUUUUAGGGGUCAUCUGUACACAUCUCUAUAUUCCUGAAACAUGGUAGAAACAGCCAGCAGUCAGGCGACAAUCUACAAUGACCACUAAAACAUCCCCAAAGUGAAACACCAGAUGUGAUCCACUAGGUUUAGUGGGGGUGGCUGGCUCAAGAGUUGAUUAUAUUUAUUAUUGUCACUGUGGUGAUUAUGGCCACAACAUUGUGAUGCGUGUUGGUCUUCUUUUGGUGAGCUGCAGUUUGGAAGGAAUAAAUCCAUUAUUUUUUUUUUGAGUCUCGCUCUGUUGCCCAGGCUGGAGUACAGUGGUGCCAUCUCAGCGUGCUGUAAACUCUGCCUCCCAGGUUCCAGUGCUUCUCCUUCCUCUGUGGCCAGGCUGGUCUUGAACUCCUGACCUCAGGUGAUCCACCCGCCUCAGCCUCCCAAAGUGCUGGGAUUACAGGCGUGAGCCACCAUGCCCGGCCCCAUUAUUCAUUUAACCAAUAUCUAUUGAGCACAUUGGGUGUGUUGAAGGAUGAACUGCAGGGGAGAGAGGAAGCCUCCUCCUGCCACUAUGUUUUCAAGUUGUCCUAAUACUCCACCAUGGGACACGCAGGCUUGUGGGUCCCAGAGCUCCAGAAGCAUCUCCCGACCACACCAUCCUGACCCGGAUUCUACUGAAAAACACAUGAGUCUAGCAGAGCCAUCUCUGACACUUCCCUUCUUUUGAAUGGCUGAUCUGUCUGUCAUGGGGAGCCCUUAUGAAAGUGCAGUGUGUUUUGUGAAACUUGAUGUUGAUCAAAGAAUACCAUUAAACUUUGUUAAGAAAUCUACAUAUUGAUGACAUAGGCAGUGGGGUGGAGGUGGGGAAAUUCCCAAAUACAUUUUAGGAAUUAUCUCAGAAGGAGGUAAUAGUCAGAACUCUUGGUUGUCAGUGACAGAAACUCAUCUUACUAGUGUGGAGUGGAAAAGGGAUCAUGUUUUUGUCUGCACUCCCCAACCCCAACCCCAAGCAGAUCCUGAAAGAGGGACAGGAUUGCAAGUGGAUUAUUUAGGAGAUGAUUCCAGGGAAUACCAAUAGGGGAGUGAGGAAAUGAUUCAUGGAAAGGCAGGAGGCCACACAAGGGGCUUCAAUGAGCAGCUUACCACUCCAGGCAACUAGGAUUUAACCCCACUGGGGACCUCUGGGAGGUGAUGUGGAAUGCAUUUCAAAGUUGUUCCAUCCAGGGGGCAAAGAUAUUGAAGCAUUUAUAGCCUGGCUCCCAUCCGUCACUGGCUGAGGACUGGUCCCAGGGCAUCAACUCUCUGGCUUUUCUUUUUCUUUUUUCUUGAGACAUAGUCUUGCUCUGUCACCCAGGCUGGACUGCAGUGGCAUGAUCUCGGCUCACUGCAACAUCUGCCUCCCAGGUUCAAACGAUUCUCUUGCCUCAGUUUCUUGAGUAGCUGGGAUUACAGGCACCUGCCACCAUGCCCUGCUGAUUUUUUUUAUUUUCUGUAGCACGGGGAUUUGCCAUGUUGGUCAGGCUGGUCUCGAACUCCUGACCUUGUGAUCCACCUGCCUCAGCCUCUCAGUGUUGGGAUUACAGGAGUGAGCCACUGCACCUGGCUUCUGUGGCUUUUCUGACAUACUCCAUGCCUGACUUUGAGAAAGCCCUCAGGUGAAAGUCUUGGUUGUAUGUAGUAGCAAGCAUAUACUAGAAUGAUAAAAACCAAGGGGCUUACCACAAGAUCUCUCUCUCCAUCUCUGUCUCUAGCUUUGUCUGCAUACUGGCUUAAUUUCUUCUUACUCAAGCCUUUUCUCCAUAAGGUGAGAAACGUGGCCACAAAAGCUCCUGUAUUUCUUACUACACACAGUUCCUGUCAUCACAGAGAAUGAUUAACUUGGUCUAGUUCCAGUUUGGACAAAUAUUCAAGGGAAGAAUUCUGAUUGGCCAAUUUAGGCCAGAUGCUCAUCCCUGGACCAAUCAACUGAGGCCAGAGGGGUGGAGUCAUGUGAGAACAUGGCAGCACCCAUGAGAGCCACGUGACUGGAGUAGGACGUGUGAGUUUCUAUAGAGGAGAGGGCUGCUAGACUGAAAAGGCAAUAGAUAUCUGCAGUGAAAGGAGUAAAUCAGGAGAUACAUUCUCUUAAACCUGUUAAUUAUUUUUAAAAAAAGAGAAACUUUCAAUAUACAGUUACAGUAUACGUGAGUGGGUGGCUCACGCCUAUAAUCCCAGCACUUUGGGAGGCUGAGGUGGGCAGAUCAGAGGUCAGGAGUUCCAGACCAACCUGAGCAACAUGGUGAAACCCCAUCUUGUGCACCUGUAAUCCUAGCUACUCAGGAGGCUGAGGCAGGAGAAUCACUUGAACCAGGGAGGCGGAGGUUUCAGUGAGCUGAGAUCAUGCCACUGCCCUCCAGCCUGGGCAGCAGAGUGAGACUCCGUCUCAAAAAAAAAAAAAAAAAAAAAAGUUACAUUGUGGUUCCCUCAGCGUGAUUUAUCAGAAAGGAAAAACUUACAAUAUGCGUAUUUCCUAUGCACAGGUUACUGCUAUGAAUUCAAAUUCUUAAAUUCCCAAGAUUAAUUAAAAUGUUUCUCAAGACACAGAAACUGUUAGAAUUCGCUUAUAGUGAGGCUGAAGUUGAGUAAGAAGAGAACUGGCAUUUAGAACACUACUUUUCUUCUGUCGAGUACUGUCAAGUUUUGGUUCUGCCUGGAAGUAGAUGCACCUCAAGGGAGGGUUGCAUGUAAAGGGGUGUGUGUGUGUGUGUGUGUGUGUGUGUGUGUGUUAGUUUCCAAAGAUGGGUACAACUUUCUGCAAAUGCUCGUGCUGUGUAAUUGAACCAAUCUUUCCCUUAAGAGGUAGAGUUUAUAUUCCUCUACAUGAAUCUGGGCUGCCUAUGACUUGCUUUGGCCAGUGGAAUGCUGCCAAAGUGAUGGUGACCAACUUCUAGCCGUGAAAGGAAAAUAAACCUUGGGGAGACAAGAUCACUAAGCUAGGCUGGGCUCGGUGGCUCACGCCUGUAAUCCCAGCACUUUGGGAAGCUGAGGCGGGCAGAUCACCUGAGGUUAGAAGUUCAAGACCAGCCUGGCCAACAUGACAAAACCCCGUCUCUACUAAAAAAUAUGAAAAUUAGCCAGGCGUGGUGGCAGGCGCCUGUAAUCCCAGCUACUUGGGAGGCUGAGGCAGGGAAAUUGCUUGAACCCUGGAGUUGGAGGUUGCAGUGAGCAGUGAUCGUACCACUGCACUCCAGCCUGGGCAACAGAGCGAGACUCUGUCCCCCCACCCAAAAAAAAACUUACUAAGCUAAAGAGAAAAGUCAAGCUGGGAACUGCUUAGGGGAAACCUGCCUCCCAUUCUAUUCAGUCACCCCUUUGCUCACUGAGAUAAAUGUAUAUCUGAUUGCUUCAUUUGGAGAGGCUAAUCAGGAACUCAAAAGAAUGCAACCAUUUGUCUCUUAACUACCUAUGACCAGGAAGUCCCUUCCCCUUGUCUCACCUUCACCUGGAGUUGUCCCGCCUUUCCAGACUGAACCAAUGUACAUCUUACACAUAUUGAUUGAUGUCUCAUGUCUCUCUAAAAUGUAACAAACCAAGCUGUGUCCCUACCACCUUAAGCACAUGUUGUCAGGACCUUCUGAGGCUGUGUCACAGGCAUGCGUCCUCAACCUUGGCAAAACAAACUUUCUGAAUUAACUGAGACCUCAGAUUUUUGGGGGGCAUAUAGUCUUAGGCCUUGAGAGCCCAGUCGUAGUUUCCAUAUUUUUGCCCUCUUGGAUGCUGGCACCAAGCAAACCUUGGCUAUCCUGCUUAAAGGGCCAUUUGGAGAGGGGCUCUGGAGGGCGAGGGGCCACAUGGAGGAAAACAAGCUUCCCCGGCUGACAACCGGCACCGACUGCCAGGCACAUGCAUUAGGCCGUGCUGGAUGUUCCGCCCAGCUGGCCCUCCAGCUGCAGGUAGCCACACAAAUGAGCCCAGGUUAAAGCAGCCAGGAAGUCCCCAUGCAACUCACAGGGUCAUGAGCAAUAAUGGCUUGCGGUGGUUUAAAGUUUCUAAUUUUAGGUGCAAUAGGUAACUGAAACAGCCCACAAGGGUGUGAGCCUGUGGAGGGUGCAUUUCCCACCUGCUGAAGCUUCUCAAUUCCCAGGAUCCAAUCCAGAUAAGACUCUUGUUCUCAGUGUCCUUGAUGGAAAUGGCAAUGAACUUUUUGCAGAUUGGACCAUCUCGGGAAUCCCAAAGAUCGGAAACUAUUUUCUUUCUCAGAAUCUUCCACACAGCAUUGAGCCUUAGGAAUUUCUAAGAAGGAUCUGGAAUGAAAAAAAAUCUUUUGAAAAGGUAUUUGUAUAGCUUCAGUUCAGCAAGAUUCAUGGUGGGUAUUAGACUAAGUGCUGGUGUUAAGCCAAACCAUGUUUUUCAAAGACUCAUCUGACCUCAAGGUUGGCAGGAUCAGAGUGGCCUCCCAGGAUCUAUCACAUCCUCAGAAGAGUUGGUUCAACUGGCAUCUAUCCAGAUCUCUUUGAGCUAGUAUGAUACUCCCUUGAGUCAAAGGCUGCCACAUCACAUCUCCUUUAAGUCCCCCUAAAUACGACCCCAGAAGUAUUGACAAAAGAGUGCUAUUCCUGAAGAUUUCAGGAGGACAUAAAUGAAGAGACUAAACUGCAAGGUACCAAAACUUCCAUCUUUGCUAAAGACCCUCAUCCAGGCUGGGCACGGUGGCUCACGCCUGUAAUCCCAGCAAUUUGGGAGGCCAAGGCGGGUGGAUCACCUGAGGUCGGGAGUUCAAGACCAGCCUGACCAACAUGGAGAAACCCCAUCUCUACAAAAAAUACACAAUUAGCUGGAUGUGGUGGCACAUGCCUGUAAUCCCAGCUACUAGGGAGGCUGAGGCAGGAGAAUCGCUUGAACCUGGGAGGCGUAGGUUGCGGUGAGCUGAGAUCGUGCUAUUGCACUCCAGCCUGGGCAACAAGAGUAAAACUCCAUCUGAAAAACAAACAAAAAGUCCUUAUCCAAUGGUCAUGCCACUCUAUCUGGCCAUGUAAUUUCUCCUCCUGGCUUUCUGUUGCAACAGCCUUCUGAGGAACCUCACUCUGCCUUUCAAAACCCCUUCAACUUGUACCCUUCAUCAGCAAAGAAUUUAGCUCAACAUGUAUGCCUCUGGGGGAACUCAUCCACAUGCCAUUUAAGGAUAUUUCCAGGGACAUCAUCUUCAUUACCCCAGGACAGCAUUUUAGAGUGGAUUACGUGCCUGCUGGAUGUGUUGUACUUGAGCGAGUUAGAGAAAAUGCCACACUUUGAGACGAAUUAAGAGUCUGUUUAUUUAGCCGGCGGCUAAGAAAUGGCUAACGUUUAAAGUUCUCUCGGCCUAGAAGAAGGGGCUAGAUUUUCUUUUAUACUUUGGUUUAGAAAGGGGAGGGGGGGAAAUAGUUAAAACAAUUUUACAGAAGUAGGCAAAAAAGUUAAAAGGAUAAAUUGUUACAGGAAAGUAAACAGUUCUAGGUCUAGGGGCUUUAAGACUAUUACAAGGUGAUAGACGCGGGGCUUUGGGCGUUAUCAAUUGGAGGAAUUCCUGGGAACUGCGGAUAUUGCUCGCCACAGUAUCUUAUCAGUUAAUUGCAUUCUUCGAUGUGCUGGGAGUCAGCUUGCACAAGUGAAGUCCUUGGGGAAGGGGCUGCCAGUGAAAGAGCCAAGAUGGAGUCUGUCUGGCUCUCUUAGCUAAGGGAGUCAAUUCAGGUGGAAAUAAGGCUAGGUGAUUAAAAGAAAGGGAGAGUCUAAGAACAGGGUUAGUAAAAACAAGGUUGGGCAUUACAUUCCUCACUUGUGUUUUUGGGGAAUCAAAUCGUUGAUUCUUCAGUUAUAACAAGGGGGUUAUAUUGAGUCUUAAGAUACAUAAGUUUGACAGAAGCUAUGUGUUGUUUUACAAAAUUAAUAAACUAAUUUAAUAUACAAGGUCCAAAAAUUAGACUUAAUAGUAGGAUGGGGAGGGGGUCUGGCUAACUUAGUAAUUAGAAUAGUUAGCUCUGGGUUCUAGUUGAACAUGCUUUGAUACUAGGGGAUGUUAUUUUCUUGUUCUUGUUGGCGCUUAUCUAGAUUUUCUUGCACUGUCUGGAGUGUAUCUUUUAUGACUAAGAAUGGUGGAGGAACAGUUAAAUCAACUUGUCAGGGUGUUUCUGGAACAUAGGGUUACUUAGAUCAGUUAAAGGCCUGAUUGGCUUGGGUGGGCUUUAUGAGACUAGGGUUUUUUUGGAUGGUGAACAUAGUCUUAACAGUAAAUCCUGAGAUAUAAAAUCUUAAUCUUCAUGACAUGCCAUGAUACUAUUGAGUUGAAUUAAGGUCAUGGACAGCUAUAGUAAGAGGAUUACAAUUUUUCUGGUAGAUAAUUUAGGAUGAGAAGCACGACUUGUGGAAAGAGUUGAAGAUCUGGUUGGUCUUUUAGAGUAGGUGGCUAAAGUUACACAUGUCUAAUCAGGGCAGAAAAACUGAUAAGUAUCUUGACAGCUAGCGUCAGGGUGAUUUCUAGGACAGAGGUAAAAGCCAAUAUUUUGGAGUCUUUUUUCUGCACUUUUGGAGCUUCUACACUUAGUUUGGCUCUUGGAGUGUCUGAACCUUGCUGCAAGGUCGACACUUCCUGCUCCUGGGACUGACAGAUUGUGUUGCUUUUCGUGGGUACGGGCUGGCUUUGGGAAUAGUACAAAUAAAUCCACUGCAAAGGAGACUUCCUUGGAGGUACUGGCCUUCUAAGUGGUGUUUGCAAAUACACGUCCUGUUGUGAAAGAGGUGAGGAGAAAGGAGUAGGAAGGCACAGAGCAUGUAACGGGCAAAAACAAAUAAGUGAGGUAGUAAAAAGGAUGAAUCUAAUGGCUUCACCUGACUUAGGUGCAGUUUUAAGGGGACUGACUUAGGCCUGGGGACUUAUGUUUUUAGCUGGGAUCUGUUGGCCUUUUUGAUGCGGGAGUGAUGAAUGUAAGCAGGAAUGCCAUCUACUUUCAGAGCCACUGGCGUCAUGAGGAUGCGGUGUGAGGUCUUUUCUAAGCAGGAGUGAGUCUUUCUUUUUGGAACUUUUUAACAAACACUAGGUCUCCUGGCUGGAACGAAUGGCAGGACUUUGGUCAGGAAUUGGAUUGGGAUGGGCUCCUCGAACAAGUGGCAGGAUGAUAUCUUGUACCUGUUGGAGAGACUAUAGGUACUGUAACAAAUUAGUUUGUGAUAUUUCUGCUAAUUUGGCAUCUCUUAGCUUAGGCAGGAUAGGCGGCGCCUUCUUAUACAUGAUUUCAAAAGGUGAGAAAUUCGCCGGGUAAGGGGUGCACCUUAUUUUAAGUAGGGCUAAAGGAAGGAGACUUACUUAAUUUACACUGUUUUUUUAAGAUUAAUUUUGUAGGAGUGUUUUUUAGGGUGUGGUUCAUGCUUUCUACUUGCCUGGAGCUCUGGGGUUGAUAGGCACAAUGGAGCUUCUGUUGAAUGUUUAACACCUUACUGACUGACUGACUGAGCUAUAGGUGAGGGGAAGGCUGGUCUAUUAUCAGACUUUAUGGCAGCAGACAGCCUAUAUUGAGGGAUGAUUUCAUUGAGCAAAAACUUAACUACUGUGUUGGUGGUUUCGUUUUUGGUAGCAAAUGCCUUAGUUUAUCUGGAGAAGGUGUCUACUAGUACUAGAAGGUAUUUGUACUUAGCCUGGUAUGGCUUUACUUCUGUAAAGUCAAUUUCUUACUUUUUUCUUGGCGAGUUUUUUCAGAGACAGUGGCCUGGGCUGGGUUUAGGACUUUGUUUGGCAUUUACUUGGGCGCAGGUUGUGCACUGGAGAGCUGCUUAAUCUGUUAGGCUUUGAAGAUGGGGGAUCUUAAAAUGGCUCUGGAGGAGCUGAGGUAGCUUUGCUCUUCUUAAAUGGGUGGUAGACUGUAGGUAACUGAUUAAAGUUUCUUUAAGAGUUCAGGGUAUGAAGAUUCCAGAGUGAGGAAGAAUCUACUAACUUUCCUGAUUUGUAUUGGCUCUGAGAUCUGAAGCCAGUUUUUUUGUUGUUGAGUGUACGGGAUUGUCAGGCAGAUCUGGCUGUGGAAAGGAGACUGUAGGCAGCAAGUUUAGAGGCGUGACUGAAAGUCUCGCUGCGACCUGAGCUGCUGAAUCAGCUUUCUGGUUACUAUGGGCAAUGGCCGUGUUUUCUUUUUGAUGUCCUUUGCAGUGGAUCACAGCUACCUGCUGAGUCUACAGGUGUAUCCAGCAGCUCCAGAGAGACAGCGACCAGGGAGAAGGGGCCAUGACGAUGGUGGUGGUUUUGUCAAAACGAGAAGAGGGAUAUGUAGGGAAAAGAAAGAGAGAUCAGACUGUUACUGUGUCUACAUAGAAAGGGAAGACAUGAGACUCCAUUUUGAAAAAGACCUGUAGUUUCAACAAUUGCUUUGCUGAGAUGUUGUUAAUCUGUAGCUUUGCCCCAGCCACUUUGCCCCAACCACUUUGACCCAACCUGGAGCUCAAAAAACAUGUGUUGUAUGAAAUCAAGGUUUAAGGGAUGUAGGGCUGUGCAGGACGUGCCUUGUUAACAAAAUGUUUGCAAGCAGUAUACUUGGUAAAAGUCAUCGCCAUUCUCUAGUCUCAAUAAACCAGGGGCACAAUGCACUGUGGAAAGCCACAGGGAGCCCUGCUCUUGAAAGCUGGGUAUUGUCCAAGGUUUCUCCCCAUGUGAUAGUCUGAAAAGUGGCCUCGUGGGAUGAGAAAGACCUGACGGUCCCCCAGCCCGACACCCAUAAAGGGUCUGUGCUGAGGUGGACUAGUCAAAGCGGAAAACCUCUUGCAGUUGAGAGAGAGGAAGGCCGCUGUCUCCUGCCUGCCCCUGGGAACUGAAUGUCUCAGUAUAAAACCCGAUUGUACAUUUGUUCAAUUCUGAGAUGGGGGAAUAACCGCCCUAUGGUGGGAGGUGAGAUAUGUUUGCAGCAAUGCUGCCUUGUUAUUCUUUACUCCACGGAGAUGUUUGGGUGGAGAGAAACAUAAAUCUGGCUUACGUACACGUCCAGUCAUAGUACCUUCCCUUGAACUUCAUUAUGACAUAGAUUCUAUUAGUCACAUGUUUGUUGCUGACCUUCUCCUUAUUAUCACCCUGCCCUCCUACUACAUUCCUUUUUGCUGAAGUAAUGAAGAUAAUAAUCAAUAAAAACUGAGAGAACUCA